rnacentral:lncRNA from 1 species
UGGGUGUAUCUGUGUUGCGCGGUUCCGGCUGGUGUGCUCCUCGGCGUCGUCCUGGACAGGUGGAUGUGUGGGCGGCUGCGUGUGUGCGUGUGCUUUGGCGGUGCGUGGUGAGGUAGCGGGGUGGCCAGCGCGGUGCCCUGGUGAGCAGGUGGUUAGAUCCGGACGGAUUUGGCCAUGGUGGCUCGACGUUGGACUUGCUGGUGCAUGUAUGGUUUAUAAUCUGUCCGGACGGAAGAUUGUAGUUUGUGUAUAGUUUAUAAUCUGAGGAAAUGUUUGCCGUCUGUGUUAACCUUCAGUCUUGUACUGCUGAAGAUUGUAGUUUGUGUUGUAUCAUAUGUGGACAUGUUCUUUACUUCAAUCUAGACUUACGUGCCUUUGUGUUAAGUUGUCUUACAUCUCAAGUUUUGUAUUUUCAUGUUUCAUGAAUUAUGUGGGUAUGUGGCAGCCCACAUAAUACCACAUACAGUAUGUGGACAGCCCACUUAAUCCCACUUAAAUAAGUGGACAUAUGUGGCAGGAAAUGGGCACCUGCAGGUUGUCCCACCUACAAGCUGAGUGGAAGAGAGUUCGUAUUUGCCGUUGUAUGAUGAAAACUGGAUGCCACCAUGCUUAACGUGUAUUUCUAAAUAAAAAGAACAAUUUGAUCAAUCUGUUCUUAUUUCUAUUAUUCGGUGACAACUCAUGGUUAUUUGGAUCGAUUUUGCCCGUAGCAACGCACGGGCCUGACGACGAAAAAACUUUAGCUAAUUUUGAUAUCGAGAUCCUGGAGAAUCCAUCUGACGUAGUCAAAGACAAACGUCUUGCCCCAAUCACUAUCAUACCCACGGACCAACGUGAAUUACUUGCCGGCCUCUGCAACUACAUCAUGUCUAUCGAUGAUGACGGGUGUUUGGAGUAAGUAUCAUGUAUCAAUAUUUAAUGUGUGGAUUUAUAAUAUUUUUCUUCUUAUCAUCUAAUUUAUAGGAAGGUAUGGGUCCGGAGCUCGACACCCGAUCCAAUGGGCUUAAGUCUUAAGAAACUUCAGUGCAUACUUAACAUGGAGCAGACCAUGGACAAUGAUUGCUUCAACACAGCCGUGCGUAUGUUGGCAUGUGACGGGGGAGUAUUGUUCAUAGACCCUCCCGUGCACUACAUGUAUCUACGAUUUUGUGUAAAUUAUCUUAACUCUUCAUUCUAUAUGUCAUUACUAUCAACAUGUUGAAACAAUAUUUCUUUUUUUACUUAGUCCAUGAUGCUAGAGUCAACACGAGGUCAGAAGUUUUGCGAGAAGGAAACUAUCCAGAGGUUGGCAACAUUAUUUGAUACCUGGCCUGAGAUGGACAACGACAUCUCAUCGUGCAACAAGGUAAGUAAAGUAUUUUGUCCAUUGUUAUCAUGGUUUAUUGUUGUUUCUAAUACCUCCACUUGUAGAUUUAUCUUCCCUAUGCAUCCAUCGGCCGAUACAUUUUGUACGUCAUCGACAAAGAGGCACGUCGUCUAUAUAUUAUGGAUCCUAUUCAAACAUCACAAUCGUUAGAGGAGAAAAAUUGAGGCAUGCACUGAAAUUAAAAAGUUUUGCAAGGGAUUUCAAAGAAGCACUCAAAAUAAAGCUGCCUGGUUGGAAUUAUGAUCUAUCUAAAUGGCAACGUUUAUUUCCGUCCGGCAUUCCAACGAGUAUAGAUGGGUAAUGAAUUCAUAACAAAAACAAUUACUUUUGUUAUUACUGAAAGAUCGUGGAUGUCGCCUAGAGAGGGGGUGAAUAGGCGUUUUAAAAUAAUUACGAUUUAGGCUUGAACAAAUGCGGAAUAAACCUAGCGGUUAAUAUGUCAAGCACAAAACAUAAAACAACUAGACUCACCUAUGUGCACCAAUAACUUAUGCUAAGCAAGAUAAGCAACUAUGUGAUAGCAAGAUAUAUGACAAGAAACAAUAUGGCUAUCACAAAGUAAAGUGCGUGAGUAAAGGGGCUCGGGUAAGAGAUAACCAAGGCACGCAGAGACGACGAUGUAUCCCGAAGUUCACACCCUUGCAGAUGCUAAUCUCCGUUUGGAGCGGUGUGGAGGCACAAUGCUCCCCAAGAAGCCACUAGGGCCACCGUAAUCUCCUCACGCCCUCGCACAAUGCAAGAAGCCGUGAUUCCACUAAGGAACCCUUGAGGGCGGUCACUGAACCCGUACAAAUGGCAACCCUUGGGGGCGGUCACCGAACCCGUACACUUUGGCAACCCUUGGGGGCGGUCACCGGAACCCGUCAAAUUGCUCGGGGCGAUCUCCACAACCUAAUUGGAGACCCCGACGCUUGCCCGGAGCUUUACACCACAAUGAUUGAGCUCCAAACAACACCAACCAUCUAGGGCACCAAGGCACCCAAGAGGAACAAGCUCUAGGGUGCCCAAACACCCAAGAGUAAUAAGCUUCUCAAACUUCACUUCCACGUAUCACCGUGGAGAACUCAAACCGAUGCACCAAAGCAAUGGCAAGGGCACACGGAGUGCCCAAGUCCUUCUCUCUCAAAUCCCACCGGAGCAACUAAUGCUAGGGAGGAAAAUGAGAGGAAGAACAAGAAGGAGAACACCAAGAACUCCAAGAUCUAGAUCCAAGGGGUUCCCCUCACAUAGAGGAGAAAGUGAUUGGUGGAAAUGUGGAUCUAGAUCUCCUCUCUCUUUUCCCUCAAAAACUAGCAAGAAUCCAUGGAGGGAUUGAGAGUUAGCAAGCUCAAAGAAGGUCAACAAUGAGGGCAAAAACAAGCUCAAGAGAUAGGGAACCAUUGGGGAAGAAGACCCCCUUAAAUAGGUCCCCACGUAUCUGCCCGUUAUGUACAGAACAACAUAGGAGCGGUAUAACCUCUUUGAGCACCGGUACAACCGGUAACAGGCAAUAAGCGGUACAAUCGGCCCACAACCGCCCAACAACCGUACCACAACAGAGACCAGUCUGAUGGUAGAGCGGUACAUGACCGGUACAACCUCCGGACCAAUUCUGGAGCGGUAUAACUGCUCCAAACACCGGUUGUACCGGUCAAGCGGUACAACCUCUCCAUGGGGCGGUACAACCUCUCUGUGUAAAACAGGCAAUAUCAAAACAACCACAACUUUCGCAUGCGAGCUCCGAAUUCAACGAAACCAAGUUUGUUGGAAAGCUAACGACAAGGGCUAACACAAUCUUAAGAGAAAUAUCAAUAAGGAGAAAAUGAGAAAAGGACCAUAAUAAAAUGGUGAGAACCCUUUCUUGGAUAAUACCGGUAAAACCUCCAACACCGAAAACAUCAUAGAAGAUGCAUGCGAACUCCGUUUUCGAUGAACUCAAGCUUGUCAUCAAGAUGACCAUAAGAUCUAAGACUCACAAAUGGAACCAAACAAGAACCAAGAAAGAUGAUGCAAGGACGCAAUGGUUUGAGCUCUCGACUAAUGAUACGAUCAAGCUACUCCCUAGAGAGCCCCCCUUGAUAGUACGACAAUCGAUCCUACAACCCGGUCUCCCAACUACCACUACGAGACCGGUAAAAUAGAAAACCUAUCAAGGGCAAACCUUUGCCUUGCACAUAGUCCACUUGAGCUAGAUGAUGACGAUCUUGACUUUCUCAAGUUGGACCACCUUUCUUGAUUGUGUUGGCUCGAUGAAGACUAGUUGAUUGCUCCCCCAUACUCCAUUAUGGGUAAGCCACUCUUUGGCACAUCUUCACAAUUCCAUUGACACCACAAUGGACGGCAAGCUUCAAGCUUGAUUGCUCCCCCAUACUCCAUUAUGGGUGAGCCACUCUUUGAGUUGCUCCACUUGAACUUGCACACUGCAAACUUGAUGACGAUCACCACUUGAUGUCAUCCUCCAUGGGUUGUAUGAGAUCUUCCUCUUGACGCAAGACCAUGCAAACAUACCUAACCCCACAAAGAACUCUCACGUAGACCAUGGGUUAGUACACAAAGCGUAAUGGACAAUUCUUACCAUACCAUGGGAUCACUUGAUCCCUCUCGGUACUUCUUCUACGCUUUGUGAGUUGAUCAAUUUGAUUCACUCUUGACUUAGUCUUAAUCAACAUUGAAUCUUUCCAACUCUCUUCAUUUGGAUGCUGUUUUGAAGGUAAACAUGAAUGAUCACACAAUAUUCUUCUUCAAGACAUGCUUGCAAUAAGCUCAACUCACACAUGACCAAUCUUUGGAUAAUCCCUUGAAAAUCACUUUGGCCAUCUCAACUCACACAUGACCAAUCUUUGGAUAAUUCCUUGAAAAGCACUUUGGCCAUCUCAUAAACUCCUUGAAACCAACACAUGGACUUCAAGACAAUCCUAUGGACAAAUGCUUCAAAUAUAACUCAAGGCAACCGUUAGUCCAUAGAGAUUGUCAUCAAUUACCAAAACCACACAUGGGGGCACCGCAUGUCCUUUCAAUUACUAUAUUAUUUACAUUGUUAAUUUAAAGUUUUACAAGAAUUUGUCUGGCUAUUUUGUUUUUCAUUUUAUGCUCCGGUGGAACGGUGAAGAUUUGGUCAAGCCGAUUUGCGCGGUGAGUAUUGUUCGUUACAUGUUUUAAGACCUUCGGCAUGAAAUUUUCAUACUAACUACAUGUAUGCGUUUGUGCAGGAUGGGUAUGAAUUGAGGAAGCAGUUUUUGUUAUACUUGCUAAAACAUCGUGGGAAUGAAGGUAAAGGAAACUUACCGGAUAUUGUGAAAGAAUUUCUUAAGCGCAUCAUCUAGAUAUUAAUAGUUUUGUAAUAGAUGUUUAGUUGGAACAUCGCUCAGUAUGUUACAUGGACAUUUCUUUAAUUUUUCUUAUGUUAUCAAUUUACAUUGCAAAAAUAAACUUCAGUUAUUAAAUAAUUAUGUUUCUGUUAUAUUGUUUGUACAUGUGGAAUUUAACAUGUAACUCCUGCAAACUUUUUCAAAAUCCCGUGGCAACGCACGGGCACUCUACUAGUAGGUUUUAGAUUCAAACUGAAAGCGUAAAUUCACGUGAAGAAACGUAUUGUGAAAGCGUAAAUUCACGUGAAGAAACGUAUUGUGACGGUGAACCCACGGAGUCAAUCCGUGCUUUAUUAUUAGGGAAAGAUAAAACACGGAUUGACUCCGUGGGUUCACCUUCACAAUACGCUUUCUUCUCAUGUCAUAAUACGCUUCUUCUUAUCCGUUUUUCUUGAUUUUGAUAUUUUUCUUAAUAUCUGAGGUGGUACUAUUUAUUUAUUCAACGGUGCGUAUGAUUUUCCUGUACGUUGCUCGAUUGGGCCUCCGCAUGGCUGCUUUCUUCACUUGGUUGGGCCUCUGGCUGGGCUGCAUCGAGCCUCCGUCACAUAUAUCGUAGGCUGCUCAAACCGCCUUCUGGCGUCGCCGGGGUUCCCCGGCCGCCGUGUCUCUCUUUGAUGCCCCCCCUCCGUGCGUAGCUCGAUCCUUCUCCAAUUGCAGAUCUCAUCGCACGUUUGCCGCCAUGGAGCACGACGCUGUAGCAACACGGCCUCCUCAUCAGCCGCUGCGAACCCGAGCAGCCACACCAAUGUUACCCCGCCGCCGGCCAUCACCCGUGUUGUGCCUCCGCUAAGCCCUCGCCUUCCUCUGCUCGAGACCUCCCCAUCUUGCCUCACUCCUCUUCGGCCGUCAUUGGGUUCGACGGGCCGAGGCAGGGAGGCCGGGGAUAGCUGCUUGUACGGGCAGUGGGCAUGCUCGGUCCUGGAGGAGAAAGAAGUUGUUGCGGCUGUCGUGCGCAAUGGAAGCUGGAUACGGCGGUCGGCGGAUGGGAUGCAACGGCUGCAGGGGCAACGUCUUCGGCGGCCGGCGCCGGGGCAUUGGAUUCUACUUGUGCAUUACAGUCAGUUCGCAUGCUGACUGGACAGUGCGCUAGCUUGGUCUGUAGUUACUGUGUAGCUACCUGCUACCAGUGAUCGAAGUUGGAAGCUCAAUGUAAGUUGCCCACUUACCUUGUUUACUUGUGAUGGUUUUUCCAUGCGUGAUUCUUUGGGGCAUAGGAAUUUUACUAAAACAAGCUUGAUUUCCACAAGAAUCCGAACAAUUUCCUGGUCUGGUCUGAAAGAUACAUGUUUGGGUAGAUAGGUUUCAGUGAUUGAAAAUAUUGCAUGUUAUUAUUGGUGAAUAAGUUCAUGGACAAACAAAAUUGGAAGAUCAGGGAAAAAUUUGCUAUCAAUUUUUGAUUUGAUACUUUGACGUAUUCUGUUGUCGACAAAAUUAUAUUGUCGAACGAGGCCGGUAGCACAGGUAUUCAUAGAACGCUGAUAUUUGGCAGUUGUAGAAUAUCAUAUACAUUAUUUAUUUGAAAUAUGACAUCUUCAUUGUUACUGUAGAAUAUCAUAUACAUUAUUUAUUUGAAAUAUGACAUCUCCAUUGUUAAUACUGGAGCUGAAAAUAUAUUUCACAGCUACCUAAAUUAAUCCAUAGAGAUUGUCAUCAAUUACCAAAACCACACAUGGGGGCACCGCAUGUUCUUUCAAUCUCCCCCAUUUUGGUAAUUAAUGACAAUCACUUUCAAGAGAGUUUAUAUAAGGAAUUAUUUAUCACCAUGCAAUGCAACAAUCAAUAAUGCAUGUGUAUGAGAUGCAAAUGCUUAGGUACAAAACCAAAGUAAGAAGAAAAAAACUCUCUAAACUUAUUCACAAAACUCUCUGAAACUUCUCCCCCAUUGGCAUCGAUUUCCAAAAUUAGCAAAAAGCUUAGAAGGCCAAUAUAAAUUGUGAUCCUCCAUAAGUUGUGUAUUUCUCAACAAGAGAGUGGAAUGCAAUACACAUAUCCAACGGUAAUACUUGGAGGAAGACCAACUAUAUUGAGGCACCAAGAUUGCUAAAGGAAUGAUAUGCCACAAGGACAUAACAAAGAGAGACACAAGCAAUCAAGCAAUUAAAAGGUACCAAUUGAAGCAAGCAAUCAACGGGUAUCAAUUGAACCAACUAGACCAAAGAUCCUACGAGCUACAUGAAUAAAGGAUAUUAUGAUAUGAGCAAAGGAGUGUUCUAAAGAAACUAGAGAAGCUCCCCAUGAUUUGUGCACACAUAAGAAUUUUUGUAUUUGGAUACAAAGUGCACAAAAUAGGAUCACAGCUCCCCCAAAAUCAAUAGAAACUUACAACAAGUGCAAGUGAGCAUAUAGGAAACAAAACCUAGUACUUGCAACAAACACAUGGUUGAGCAACAAGUGAAAGAGGCAACUUAAGAAAGGGCUCAACAAAAAUGAUGUGUGUGAGUCAAGGCAAAACACUUGAGAAGACUAAAGUACGGAUGAGCAUUAAGCAUCAAUAAAGUCUUGAAAGAAUGAGGCACACGGUGCAAGGCCUAUCAUUCCCACACACAACUACAAAUGGGUUCACAAGCUUACUAAUAAGGAUAUAAAGAACAUAUGCUUGUGACAACCCGUCGUGAAGAUAGAAGAUGAAAGCCUCAUCAAGACGAGGGAUACCAAUUAAGAUGGCAAAAGCCUCGUAAAGAUAAGCAUGAGGAAAAUAAUCUUCACCACACAAGAGUGCAUCAAGAUGCAACGAUAGAAGACACGCACUCAAGGCAAAAGCUUUCACGGAGCCACCAAAGAAAUAACAUAAGAAAGACAAGGUGGACGUGAAAGAAAGGAUAUCAACUAGAUAUGCAACUUAUCUCAAGUGUAUAAGAUUCUAGGUAGACGAAAUCAUGAUGAUAUAUAUCUACAAAGAAGGAUGUACACCCGAAAUAGUUACAACACGAGGAACAAGAUAUCCAAAGGGAGGUCAUACAUAUACCAAUAAGAUAUUUUCUUGAGAGCAUAGCACAUGGCUAGAUAUGGUCUUAUUGUAUAUAAAUGAAUUCCAACCACACGAACAUCAAAGACAUCACAACUAGCAACAAGACAUCAUUGUUGAGAUGCUUUGAGAAAGGAAACAAGUAUCACUAGAAAGAAUGGAUAACAUGCCAUGAUACAACCUACACAAGGUUGAUGCAAGAAAUGUGUGCAUGAAGUAUAUGAAGAUACUUGUUACUGAGAUAACAUUGGAAGGAUGUAGUAGAUACCAAUUGAAGGUACAAAGUAGUUCAUUGAUCAUCCUAGCUUGACUCCAAUAAGCACAUGGUGACAACACCUUCCUUGUGAGUGAGCCGAGCAUCCAAUGCAUCUCCACUUGUUCCUAGAACAACAACACAAACAAAAUGGUACCCAAACUCAUUGGGACCAAAGAGUUAGAGAACCAACAACACAUAGGACAAACUCCACAUAAAUAUGUGCAUAUAGAUAUGAAAAUGAAUUUCAUGCACAUCUCAUCCAAUUUGAGACUUGGUGGAGUUCCCCCUAUAUAUUGGGUCAAAGAAAGAAAACAUGCCAAAGAAACUACAAGAAGUAAAUAUGCAUGCUCAAGACUUUCAAGAACCGAGACCAAAAGACAAAGAAAUACCAAGCGAAGAAAAGAUACCAAAUGAAUAAAUCAUCACUUGGAGGAUAUCCAUAAAAGAUACAUCAAGGAAUGAGAUAUCCAUUGAUACACUCAAAAAGAAAGAUGUCAAACUCCCAAAAUAGAGAAUGGUUCCAAACAAACCAAGCCCUCUACAAAGUUUCAUGAUGGCACAAAGUACCAAAAAGAAACGGCUUGCCUUCCACAAACACACACUUGAUAAGGAUCACAAGAUGAGUGUUUUAUAGAGAAUAGGAUAGCUCCCCCAAGACUAAUGCAUUAUAGAGAAUUUGCAUUUGAAUACAAAAUGCACGAGGUGGGAUCACCCCUUUCACUAUAUCUAGAAAACACUAGACAAGGUCAAGAAAUUAACAAGAUCCACAAGUGGUAUGGAAUACAAUGGGAGUUGACACAACCCUAGGCAAGAGAUAAAGCAAAGGCCAAUGUAAAGAUGAUCAAUAAUUUCUACCACACAUAAGUGAGUACCAAUUGUCAAAAUACAAGAAGUAUUUGGGAAUAAUUCCCGGUGGUAGAUAACAAGGAUAUCCGACAUAAUCUUCACACCAAACAAAAAGCAAAUUGCAACUUGUAGAGCUAACAUGCCACCUAGGAACAAGAUAAUUUACAAUAUCAAUUCUAGGUGACAAUAUCUCAAAUGUACACAUUUUCUAGGCUAGUAAUAUACACAUAGCAUAUUACUCCCCCAUAAUGUGAUAUUCCAUUAAUCUCUCACAAGAGCCAACUAAGAAAAGAACAAGAUGCAAAAGGCUCAACGCAUGACACACACGUACAUGAUGUGCAAACCAACACACACAUACUUGAUUGCUCAAGAUAAUCAAGUUGGAAGCACAACAUAUACAAACACAUGCAAGGAACAAAACCAAAACAUGCAAGGGGUCAAGUAACUUUCAAUGUAAGCAAUUGAGGUACAAGUUACCGCAAGGAAGCACAUUGGAUAUAAGAUAUAAUCUUGAUGAUUCAAUUGACUUGGCUUGAGACAAUAAGAAUGAUGAAGUACCCUUAAUUCUUCAUAAUGUAGCCAAGUCUCCAAUGACCUCCAACAUCACCUAUUGAUCAAGUUUGAGCUUGUUGGUCCCCAACCAAGUUGGGUCCUAAGAGGUUAGUCACAAUAGGCUUGGCUACCCAAAUUGUUCUUUGCUUCAAACCACUUUGAGUACCAACAAACUUGGCAACCACAUUGCCAACCUUAUCCUUCCCAAGAGAAUAGACAUCAUCAAUAAUAAUUGGGUUGGAUAAGUUACCACUAGUGCAUGAAGAGGCGAGGUGACCUUUCUCGCGACAUAGGUAGCAAUGUCUACUCCUCACUUUCUUCUCACUUGAUUUCUCAACUUGAGAAGCAUAAGCUUGAGUCUUCUUGAGAAGAGGCCUUUCUUCAACUUGAGGUUUAGCAUGAGAAUGAACUUGUGGCCUCUUCCCUUGUUGCUUGUCAUUAACGGACUUCUUCUUCAAUGGGCAAGAUCUAACAUGAUGCCCUUCAAUUUUGCACUUGAAGCAAAUAAUCUUGGCCGAAUUCUUGACUUGUUCUUGGCCCUUCUUCUUGAUCAUGUUGGACUUCUUCUUAUUGGAGUUGAAUCCAAGUCCACCUUUGUCAUUGGGGGAUUUUUGCACACUCAAGAUAUUGUUGAGUGUGGAUUUCCCUUCAUGACUCUUUUCCAUGUCUUUCUUCAAAGAAGUGACUUGGGCCUUGAGCUCUUUGAUUUCCUCUACACGGUUAGUCUCAACACAAGUACUGGAGGAAGUAUAAGCUUCAUCGUUAGAACAACACGGCAAGGAAAGCAAUUCAUCACAAGAUGUACCAACAUUGUGAGUAGAUGAAUUACAAGGACUAGCACAUGGCAAUAUAGCAUUUUGACUAGAAGUAGUGCUAGUAUCCACAUGAGGCUCACUAGAUGUUACCUUAGCAAGCAUGGCCUCAUGAGCUAAUUUUUGCACAUUAUGGGAUACUAGAAGAUCAUCAUGAGAGCUUGUGAGCUUUACAUGAUUUUCUUCCAACAUUCCAUAAUUGCUAGAUAGCAACUCAAGUUGAGCCCGAAGCUCAAGAUUCUCCUUCAAAAUGGAUGCUUCACAAGUAAUAGAGUUAGUAUCCCAAGCAUCAUCAUUAACAACAAUAGGAGAGGACACCUUGGCAAGCUCUUUUAAGUAAGAAGCUUCAAGUUGAGCAUGAGACUCGGUGAGUUUUAUGAGCUCACCCUUGAUGACCCUUGAGCCAUUUUCGAGGUGCUCAAAAUCCUAAAGGAGUCUAGCACGAGCAACUUCAAGCUUAGCAUUUUUAGUUUUGAAAUCAUUGGCCACCUCGAGUGCUCUAUCAUGAGAUUCCUUUAUUCUAGAUAAUUCUAUAGCAAAGGUCUCCUCAAGAGAUUCGGAUGAGGUUUGUUCAUGUUCAAGAGCUUGAGAUAGCUCCGCGAUCUCACUUGCGUAAUCACGCUCAUGAGCUUCCAUUUUCUCAAUGGUGACCUCAUGCUCCUCUAGAUGAGAUUCCAACUCCUCAGUGUAUUUCUUGCCUUCAAUGGCAAUAGACAUGAUUUCCAUGAAGUUGAAACGAGCAAGUUUAUUUUUGUGAAGAGCUUUAAAAAUCAUUUCCCCCUUAGUUUUUAAGGAGGCAACAUUAUCAUUCUCUUCAUAAUAAUCAACAUCAUCAUCACUCUUGCCAUCAUCAAUAUCAUCACAAGAUAUAUUGGGAUUCAAAGUAGGAGAUACCUUUGAAGCCUUGGCCAUAAGGCAAAAUGUAAUAGAUGAUGAUGUAGGAUCCGUUGAAGGACCAUUCAAGACCACAUCUUGUUCCAUGGGGUGUUGGGUUUCCUCUACAUUGUUAGCACAACAAUUCGAGGAAAUAUAUGCAUUUUUAUCAUGGCAACAAGACAUAGUAAACAUAUCAUCAUGAGAUUUAGUCAAGCAAUUUCUACAUGAUAUGAAAGGACUAUCAACACAAGCAUAUAAAGCAUUUCGAGUGCUCAAAGUGUUAAAGCCCAAAGAAGGAGCAUUGCAAUAAGAUAGUGAUGAAGGAUCAUCCACAAUAAGCAUACUAUCAUCAUUGCAAUGACCAACACUACUCAACAUAUCAUUACCUUGUGGCAAACCACAUGUAGGUGAAGUAGAAGAAGUUGAGAAGACUAUACAACCGGAGGUGGAGGGAGAACAAUCAUCCCCACAAAUCUUGGACACACCAUAUUUUUCUUGAAGCUUCGUCCACAACUCAUGAGCAUCCCGGAACGACAUGAGUUGAAAUAUAACUACAUUGCUCAAAGCAUCGAAAAGCACAUUAGAAGCUUGAGCAUUGAGAUAAGAGUUUUUCUCAUCCUCUAAAGAUAAUCUUUGGGGAUCCUUUGGAGGAGAAAAACCCAUAUCUACAAUUCGCUCUAAAUUUGAGUCCAUGACCCUAAAGAGAUUAAGCAUGCGAAUUACUCAAACAUCAAAAUUUGUGCCAUCGAAACUAAGAGUGUCAGAGAAUCCUAAUCCCCUAGUCGACAUCUUUACUCUCUAGGCGGUAAAGCUUAAUAAAGAGAGACGAGGCUCUGAUACCAAUUGAAAGAUCGUGGAUGUCGCCUAGAGGGGGGGUGAAUAGGCGUUUUAAAAUAAUUACGAUUUAGGCUUGAACAAAUGCGGAAUAAACCUAGCGGUUAAUAUGUCAAGCACAAAACCUAAAACAACUAGACUCACCUAUGUGCACCAACAACUUAUGCUAAGCAAGAUAAGCAACUAUGUGAUAGCAAGAUAUAUGACAAGAAACAAUAUGGCUAUCACAAAGUAAAGUGCGUGAGUAAAGGGGCUCGGGUAAGAGAUAACCAAGGCACGCAAAGACGACGAUGUAUCCCGAAGUUCACACCCUUGCAGAUGCUAAUCUCCGUUUGGAGCGGUGUGGAGGCACAAUGCUCCCCAAGAAGCCACUAGGGCCACCGUAAUCUCCUCACGCCCUCGCACAAUGCAAGAAGCCGUGAUUCCACUAAGGGACCCUUGAGGGCGGUCACUAAACCCGUACAAAUGGCAACCCUUGGGGGCGGUCACCGAACCCGUACACUUUGGCAACCCUUGGGGGCGGUCACCAGAACCCGUCAAAUUGCUCGGGGAGAUCUCCACAACCUAAUUGGAGACCCCGACACUUGCCCGGAGCUUUACACCACAAUGAUUGAGCUCCAAACAACACCAACCGUCUAGGGUGCCAAGGCACCCAAGAGGAACAAGCUCUAGGGUGCCCAAACACCCAAGAGUAAUAAGCUUCUCAAACUUCACUUCCACGUAUCACCAUGGAGAACUCAAACCGAUGCACCAAAGCAAUGGCAAGGGCACACGGAGUGCCCAAGUCCUUCUCUCUCAAAUCCCACCGGAGCAACUAAUGCUAGGGAGGAAAAUGAGAGGAAGAACAAGAAGGAGAACACCAAGAACUCCAAGAUCUAGAUCCAAGGGGUUCCCCUCACAUAGAGGAGAAAGUGAUUGGUGGAAAUGUGGAUCUAGAUCUCCUCUCUUUUUUCCCUCAAAAACUAGCAAGAAUCCAUGGAGGGAUUGAGAGUUAGCAAGCUCAAAGAAGGUCAACAAUGGGGGCAAAAACAAGCUCAAGAUAGGGAACCAUUGGGGAAGAAGACCCCCUUAAAUAGGUCCCCACGAAUCUGCGCAUUAUGUACAGAACAACAUAGGAGCGGUAGAACCUCUGUGAGCACCGGUACAACCGGUAACAGGCAAUAAGCGGUACAACCGCCCAACAACCGUACCACAACAGAGACCAGUCUGAUGGUAGAGCGGUACAUGACCAGUACAACCUCCGGACCAAUUCUGGAGUGGUACAACUGCUCCAAACACCGGUUGUACCGGUCAAGCGGUACAACCUCUCCAUGGGGCGGUACAACCUCUCUGUGUAAAACAGGCAAUAUCAAAACAACCACAACUUUCGCAUACGAGCUCCGAAUUCAAUGAAACCAAGUUUGUUGGAAAGUUAACGACAAGGGCUAACACAAUCUUGAGAGAAAUAUCAAUAAGAAGCAAAUGAGAAAAGGACCAUAAUAAAAUGGUGAGAACCCUUUCUUGGAUAAUACCGGUAAAACCUCCAACACCGAAAACGUCAUAGAAGAUGCAUGCGAACUCCGUUUUCGAUGAACUCAAGCUUGUCAUCAAGAUGACCAUAAGAUCUAAGACUCACAAAUGGAACCAAAUAAGAACCAAGAAAGAUGAUGCAAGGACGCAAUGGUUUGAGCUCUCGACUAAUGAUACGAUCAAGCUACUCCCUAGAGAGCCCCCCUUGAUAGUACGACAAUCGAUCCUACAACCCGGUCUCCCAACUACCACUACGAGACCGGUAAAAUAGAAAACCUAUCAAGGGCAAACCUUUGCCUUGCACAUAGUCCACUUGAGCUAGAUGAUAACGAUCUUGACUUCCUCAAGUUGGACCACCUUUCUUGAUUGUGUUGGCUCGAUGAAGACUAGUUGAUUGCUCCCCCAUACUUCAUUAUGGGUAAGCCACUCUUUGGCACAUCUUCACAAUUCCAUUGACACCACAAUGGACGGCAAGCUUCAAGCUUGAUUGCUCCCCCAUACUCCAUUAUGGGUGAGCCACUCUUUGAGUUGCUCCACUUGAACUUGCACACUUUAAACUUGAUGACGAUCACCACUUGAUGUCAUCCUCCAUGGGUUGUAUGAGAUCUUCCUCUUGACGCAAGACCAUGGAAACAUACCUAACCCCACAAAGGACUCUCACGUAGACCAUGGGUUAGUACACAAAGCGUAAUGGACAAUUCUUACCAUACCAUGGGAUCACUUGAUCCCUCUCGGUACUUCUUCUACGCUUUGUGAGUUGAUCAACUUAAUUCACUCUUGACUUAGUCUUAAUCAACAUUGAAUCUUUCCAACUCUCUACAUUUGGAUGAUGUCUUGAAGGUAAACAUGAAUGAUCACACAAUCUUCUUCUUCAAGACAUGCUUGCAAUAAGCUCAACUCACACAUGACCAAUCUUUGGAUAAUCCCUUGAAAAUCACUUUGGCCAUCUCAACUCACACAUGACCAAUCUUUGGAUAAUUCCUUGAAAAGCACUUUGGCCAUCUCAUAAACUCCUUGAAACCAACACAUGGACUUCAAGACAAUCCUAUGGACAAAUGCUUCAAAUAUAACUCAAGGCAACCGUUAGUCCAUAGAGAUUGUCAUCAAUUACCAAAACCACACAUGGGGGCACCGCAUGUCCUUUCAAUUACUAUAUUAUUUACAUUGUUAAUUUAAAGUUUUACAAGAAUUUGUCUGGCUAUUUUGUUUUUCAUUUUAUGCUCCGGUGGAACGGUGAAGAUUUGGUCAAGCCAAUUUGCGCGGUGAGUAUUGUCCGUUACAUGUUUUAAGACCUUCGGCAUGAAAUUUUCAUACUAACUACAUGUAUGCGUUUGUGCAGGAUGGGUAUGAAUUGAGGAAGCAGUUUUUGUUAUACUUGCUAAAACAUCGUGGGAAUGAAGGUAAAGGAAACUUACCGGAUAUUGUGAAAGAAUUUCUUAAGCGCAUCAUCUAGAUAUUAAUAGUUUUGUAAUAGAUGUUUAGUUGGAACAUCGCUCAGUUUGUUACAUGGACAUGUCUUUAAUUUUUCUUAUGUUAUCAAUUUACAUUGCAAAAAUAAACUUCAGUUAUUAAAUAAUUAUGUUUCUGUUAUAUUGUUUGUAUGUGUGGAAUUUAACAUGUAACUCCUGCAAACUUUUUCAAAAUCCCGUGGCAACGCACGGGCACUCUACUAGUAGGUUUUAGAUUCAAACUGAAAGCAUAAAUUCACGUGAAGAAACGUAUUGUGACGGUGAACCCACGGAGUCAAUCCGUGCUUUAUUAUUAGGGAAAGAUAAAACACGGAUUGACUCCGUGGGUUCACCUUCACAAUACGCUUUCUUCUCAUGUCAUAAUACGCUUCUUCUUAUCUGUUUUUUCUUGAUUUUGAUAUUUUUCUUAAUAUCCGAGGUGGUACUAUUUAUUUAUUCAACGGUGCGUUUGAUUUUCCUAUACGUUGCUCGAUUGGGCCUCCGCAUGGCUGCUUUCUUCACUUGGUUGGACCUCUGGCUGGGCUGCACCGAGCCUCCGUCACAUAUAUCGUAGGCUGCUCAAACCGCCUUCUGGCGUCGCCGGGGUUCCCCGGCCGCCGUGUCUCUCUCUGAUGCCCCCCUCCGUGCGUAGCUCGAUCCUUCUCCAAUUGCAGAUCUCAUCGCACGUUUGCCGCCAUGGAGCACGACGCUGUAGCAACACGGCCUCCUCAUCAGCCGCUGCGAACCCGAGCAGCCACACCAAUGUUACCCCGCCGCCGGCCAUCACCCGUGUUGUGCCUCCGCUAAGCCCUCGCCUUCCUCUGCUCGAGACCUCCCCAUCUUGCCUCACUCCUCUUCGGCCGUCAUUGGGUUCGACGGGCCGAGGCAGGGAGGCCGGGGAUAGCUGCUUGUACGGGUAGUGGGCAUGCUCGGUCCUGGAGGAGAAAGAAGUUGUUGCGGCUGUCGUGCGCAAUGGAAGCUGGAUACGGCGGUCGGCAGAUGGGAUGCAACGGCUGCAGGGGCAGCGUCUUCGGUGGCCGGCGCUGGGGCAUUGGAUUCUACUUGUGCGUUACAGUCAGUUCGCAUGCUGACUGGACAGUGCGCUAGCUUGGUCUGUAGUUACUGUGUAGCUACCUGCUACCAGUGAUCGAAGUUGGAAGCUCAAUGUAAGUUGCCCACUUACCUUGUUUACUUGUGAUGGUUUUUCCAUGCAUGAUUCUUUGGGGCAUAGGAAUUUUACUAAAACAAGCUUGAUUUCCACAAGAAUCAGAACAAUUUCCUGGUCUGGUCUGAAAGAUACAUGUUUGGGUAGAUAGGUUUCAGUGAUUGAAAAUAUUGCAUGUUAUUAUUGGUGAACAAGUUCAUGGACAAACAAAAUUGGAAGAUCAGGGAAAAAUUUGCUAUCAAUUUUUGAUUUGAUACUUUGACGUAUUCUGUUGUCGACAAAAUUAUAUUGUCGAACGAGGCCUGUAGCACAGGUAUUCAUAGAAUGCUUUUUUGUGUUCUUUCCUGAUAUUUGGCAGUUGUAGAAUAUCAUAUACAUUAUUUAUUUGAAAUAUGACAUCUUCAUUGUUACUGUAGAAUAUCAUAUACAUUAUUUAUUUGAAAUAUGACAUCUCCAUUGUUAAUACUGGAGCUGAAAAUAUAUUUCACAGCUACCUAAAUUAAUCUAUUUUGUUAUUUAUUACUGACUUUUUGACUCCCAGGUCCAAAGAAAAAAGUUCUGCAAAUGCAACCUUAUGUAUGAAUGUACAAAACAUUUGUUGGUUAACCAAUAGAAAUGAUCAGCAAAAGUAUUUCAUCAUACGAAGUAGCCAUGUGACAAUAUCUAGAUUUUUCAUCAUCAAACAUCUUCCUUCGACACAUCAUAACUUCGUCAAACAUUGAAGAAAGGCCUUUUUUUUGUGAUUUCACAUUCCACGUGGCUGUAAGUGUUUAUUAAUGCUAGCAAGUAAUUCAAGCCUUGACUUGCUCUUGCCAACUGGGUGAAGAAUCAUUAUGAGAAACAACCAGAUCACUCCACUAGGUUAAAAUUAAAAAAUCCAAUAGCUUAUGCAGCCUAUAAUUAGCUUUUCAAGAUUAUUAGAUGAUUUCUGUCAAGAUAAAUACAUGGAUACUCCACUAUCUACAAUUUUGUAAUUUUUGCUCCGUGUUUAAUUCAACUCCAUGUUGACUGCAUCUUCAAACAAUCCGAAAUAUUGUCCGAACAAACUAACUCUUGGUGACUCUUUUAUUCUUGUUGGAAGCUAAAUUGACCAUUGUAGAGGAUUUUGAUAACCGAACUUCAAAAAACAAGCAAAAUGUUCUGAAUCACGUGUACUGCUCUAAAUUAUCAAAAUGAUCAGGUGUCCUGCUAUAUGAACCUCCAGGCAUUGGGAAGGUAGGUGUACUGAGUUUUCUACUUUGUCUGAAUUGAGUUUUCAUUCCCAUUUUCCAAAAGUUAGUUGUAUUCAACAGCAACAUAUACAUGCUAACUGGGAUGUUUUCUUGUGAAUUUUUAGACAUUACUUGCGAAAGCAGUAGCAAAUGAGUGCUCAUUAAACUCUCUUAGCGUAAAAGGUCCAGAACUAAUAAACAUGUAUGUUGGAAAAUCAGAGAAGAAAUAUCAGGGACAUCUUUGAUAAGGUAGAUCGAUAUGCAAAAGCUAUGUAAUUGCCAUGAAAUAUGCACAUACACUCAGGUUUUCAGUUUUCACUAUCAAUUUUAGGCUAGAUCGGCACACCCAUGAGUAAUUUUCUUUGAUGAGCUUGAUCCCCUCGUUCCUGCAUGAGGGUCCUCUGCAGAUUCUGGCGGUGUGAUGGAUAUAGUGGUUUCUCAGGUAUAAUUAAUGGCAUCAACGAGGUGGUGACUGUUGUCUCAGUCUUCCCUCUCUUUUUUUACUUGCGCCUCAGUUUCCCUCUUAUUUUCAUUGUUUAAAUGUUAGAUUAAGCUAAUUUAGUUUCCUUUUUUCUCUCUUUACUAGCAAAAAUGCCUGACAGAGAUGCAUAUGUUUGGCAUUCUAUCAGAGUAUCAGUAAACAUACACUUGUGCUAGCUUGCAGUACUACAUUUUAUGAUUGUGUAGUAUCCACAGCACUACUAAUCAUUAAGUCCGUUGCCUUGUCAUGUAAUUGUGUCAAAUGCACACCAAUACUGAUGCUCUAUGCUCUUGCCUGAGAGCACGUGUUGUGCUUUGCAUCAUCUAACAAAUAUGUAAACUCUGUAAGUAUAAACAGACUUUAGCACUGUGAUCCAAUAUGUAUUUAUUUAGUAGUGGACUAAUGUAUGUAUUUGGUAUGCUUGCAAGUGCUUAUUUAUUACUUGCACCAGAAAUACCAAUAAGUUACUAUUGAAAAUUCAAAUAUGCUAUCAGAAAAAUGAAGACACACACACGCACUGGUCUCAACUAGCUCAACUGCUAUGCUGCCACCGCCCUCCCCUAAGAGCAUGCAACCCUACAGCAAAGCGGGUUCUGCACCUCGAGCACUCAACCCUAAGAUGGAUUUGGUUCUGCAUCCCAUCAUUUCCUCCCAUUGCAAUGCACGGGCUCAAAUCGACUUUGUUUACCGGUUCACUUUUGUAGUGCCUCUUCUGGUGAUCACAUCUGUUGUUUAUUCCAAGAAAGAAACAUGUAUGCAAUUUUUGGGUUUGUUGUGAAGUUUGUAGGAUAUUGUAGGAAUCGAUCAUGAACUUGAUGCCAUAUCCAAGAAAGGUGAGGCUGCUUUGGGAGGGCGGGCGUGAGCCGUACUUAGCCGGUUGAUUAGCCGACUUUUGAUUUGUAUCACUACCACUGGCUUGAUCUCCGUACAUAGAUGUAUGAUGUGCAUGUAAAAUCUAAGUUUUGGAUUAGUAUCAUUCUUAAUUCUCAAGAGCAAAUAGGAGAAUACAUUGUCACAAAUUGUACUACCCUGCUGAGUGGUUUCCUGAUAAAUCUCAGUUUGUUCUUAAUGGGCAGAUGAUAUUUUUUUGUAGUAAUAUGUAUUGAAGAUUUAUAAUGGAAAUGUGCAUAUAAUUAGCUGUUUUGUUAACAAUUUAGAUUUCUGUUGCAAAUAAUUAUGUUUCAUCUUUUCUUCAUCUACUAUACUCCAAAUUUGAAGGUUGAUGUUAUACAAAUUUUACCGAACUAAGAAAUAUUGGUUGUGAGAAAUUUUUCAUUAUGUAACAAUGCACAAACAUCAGGAAGCAAUUCGUGGAAGGCAGCCCUCACAGUCUAGCUCGACAAGAUUAGUUUUCUAAGUUUCAUCGCCUUGAGAUUGACCUUGUUCAGAUGCGCCGUGACAAGGUGAACGGCCUAUGUCGGUGACGACGAAAGGAUGAUAACUACGAGAUGGAUGGGUCACCGUGUUCAAGUGGAUGUCGCAGAUUGUGUGUGUGGUGACGGGUUGUGAUGUUUUCAUUUUUCCCCGUUGCAACACAUGCUUCCCCCGUUGCAACGCACGGGCAUGUUUACUAGUUACAUAUAACUAUUGUACUCCACAAUUUACUCCGGAGCCAAUCGUUGCUAGGAUCAACGGUGCAUGUACGGCAUACAUUACCGCAACGCCCACCUCAAAGCAACAACGCAAACAACAGGUUACAGAUGAAAGGAAACCAAACAUAAAUUAUCUACCACGGGAGCAGAGGCGGUGGCGCCUGGAGUAAAGGCAUUUGCCCCACCGGCGUGCUCGAUUGGGGAGGAGGAGGCGCCUUGGGCGUCCUCGUCCCUAACGACCUCAUUCUCCCCACCUUGACUCUCCGCCCACCACCAUGGAGGGCUCUCUCCGCGGUGUGCCGCUUGACGUCUCCACCGCAGCGUCGGGGCACGACGAAUCGGCGACAGACAUGAUGCAGGCGCAUAGCAGGAGGGCCGCUACGAGCAACGAAAUGGUGGCCAUGACUAGUGGCGGAGUGGUGCAGUAGCUGGAGCCGGGAGGUGGUGGUGCAAGUGUGCUGGUGUGGUGCCUGAUGAUCAUGGACUCGAGCCAUUUAUAUACGCGAUGGACGAGGCUGGAAACCCCUCUUCUGGAUUGUGCCUCCCGGAGCAAAAAAUAUAACGGAUUCUCGGUAAAAUGAUUAAUCGCAAUACUCUGUUGAGGUCCACAUGCUUUUGUUGGAUUCGGGAUCGUGACCGACAUUUUGCAACCAGAAUGGUGGCAUACAGCAUCUUGACAAGCAGAAACUGUGAGGUUCGAUGCACCACGUAGCUAAGCUAUCCGUGCCUAACUUCAACUUUGUUUCGGACGAGAAUUAAUUGAUGAAGUGUGGCGAACUCGCAACCAUCAUCAAGUUGCAUGAUUGAACAGCUUUUCUUUCUGGAGACCACUAGGGAUCCGACUACUGAUCCAUGCUUCUUAUCAGACUAGUGUACAGCCGUUGGAUUAAAUGGAUGGGAGUCGUUCGAUUGUGUACCGGAGCCCGCAUAGAAUUAGUUGAUCCCUGCACUAAUUACGUGCAUCCUCAUAACUGCUCCCGUGAAGCAGUCUGAUAGCCCAUAAAUAAACUAAGAGAAAAUGGCAUAACUGACGCAUCAAAAAAGCAUAAUAUCCAUCCCCCACCUGCGGUGGGGAUGAAGUGCGAGAGAAAUCCUUGCCGGUUCUUCGGCUCCGAUGCGGUGACACCUGCGGGUGCCAUCAUUCCUUCCUGAAGGGUGUCGGUGAUAUCCAUCCCCCACCCCCCUCUGCGUGUCGGGGGAAACUCUAUGACAUGUCCGGGCAGCAGCGAUGUCGGCGCCGUAUUCCUUCUUGGAGGUGUUGCUUGGUACACGGCGGUUCGGAGCCUCGGGUUGUGGUGGUUUGUUUCUGGAGGGCGUAGCGGUGGCGGGUCAUCCGCACUUUGUCAAGCUGCCGUUGUUGGCAUUUGUUUAUUCUUCUUUUUCUUUUGGGAUUGAUGUACUGUUCGCCCCAGCGAUCCUUGUAUUGGUGUUGGUUGCUUUGGAAUACAAAGUGGGGGAAACCCCUUUUUCGGUAAAAGGCAUAAUAUUUUGGAUUAUAUAAUUUUUGUUAUUGGAAGCAGCACCACCGUGGGCAUUGACAUGGUGGAUGCAUGGCGAACAUGGUUUUCGAACCACUUGAUGCAUCCACCUUAUUUACAGUAACGACUGCAUCCACCAUACGAGAAGUAUGCAUCCACCUUAGGUGCCAUUUGCAUCCAGCGUAUUAAUAGAUUUUCCUUUCUUCCGCCGUGAUGGAAAUUUGGUUUGAUUUAGCAUGAUUUUUUGUACUGUGUGCCAAUAUACUUUGCUUCCAAACCAAUAUGAAACUAUUUUCAUUGACUCAAGAAUAGCUUCCAUGAAAAUAUGGAUUUGUUUCAUCGAUUAGAAAAUGUUAUAUUGAUUUCAAUCACCAUGCUUCCUCACUGAUCAAUAUUGCUUCCAUUAAAUAGAGAAUUUGCUUCCAUGAUGAUCAUGAAGCAAUACAAAAAAAAUUCAAGUGGUAAUGACGUAUUUUAUCAUUGUUCAGGUUAUUGGCUUCCCACAUAGUGCUGGUGCAUGGUGUAGCACGAGGUAAUGUGUCCGCACAUUGCAUUGAUGCCGAAGAUAUCAUGGCACCAGGACAAUGUGAGGAAUCAUAUGAGAAUCCAGUGAAACAUGGUUGGCAUUGUGUACAGUAAAACAUAUAUGUAAUAUAGAAGAACAUACAAGAAAACAAGGAAGCAUGACUUCUUUUGAAAAAAGAGGCGACAUUGAAUAAUAUUGUACUUAUUUAAACAAUAAAAUACAAACUAUUACAACAACGUUGUUUUCACAUCCUCUAGCCAGCAUCACAGAGGACGUUGAAUGGAGCAUCUCACAUGCACUGUGAGCUUGCCAUCAUCAACAAGGCAAUCACGUCUCGGCUAUAUUGCAGCCGACAUAUUCACAACACAUCAGGCUGUAGAGAAAUCUGCAUAGUAAAAGCAUCAAUGAGAAACAAUCAAGCACACAUAGUGUUCAGUGGUUGAGACAAAAGUUCACUCCGAAAAGCAACACCGGCAAUGGUUGAAGGGCACACAGGGGGUAGUGGGUGAAGCAAAACUAUGUGAGAAAUCAAAAGUAGGAAGCAUGGCAACACGAAGCAAUUAUUGGAUGCGCAUGCGCCAGAAGCAUAAAAGAUCGAUUUGACAGAUCUGCAUACUUGCUGGGCAAGAUUUUUGUGCUAAAAUUUAAUGUCUGUGAAAUAUUGUUUCAGUUCCGCACUACAUCUCUACACUAGAGGCAUAUGUUAAAACUCAAGGAAGCAUGGUUAACAAGAAGCACUAAUUUGGUUCUAUCAUAACAUAUAUGAGACGCAUCCGAAGCAUACAUAUUUGAAUUCACAAAUUAACAUGCCAGAGAACAUAUGCACAUUUGAUGCAGUACAUCUAAUUAGAUGUGGACAUGAACAAAGUGUUUCUAAAUCAUUCGCAACAUAUGGGAGGAAAAUUUUGUGCAUACUAUACUUCAGUGCUUCAAAACUACAAACAAACAGAGAAAGCAGGAAGCAUUAUUAACAUGAGUUUGCACUGAAGAAAUACAAAAAGGAGACAUAGGAAACAUGUGUUAUUUGGAAGAAAAAAUGAACACAAUCCCAAAACACCCGUGCUUAUAUGCCAAAGCAUCAAAGUCAUGAUGUCUCAACAUACCUGAUAGUUAGUAAAAGCAUUGCAAUUAAAAUUUGAAAAUUAGAAGUGCUUGCCGUCAACAGGUGGGUGCAUAAUUUUGUGAUAUACUCUGUAUGAGUCAAUGACAUCAAAACUGCAAAAUAAAAUGGUGAUUUUGUUAGUUUACAUAGUAAAACGACAUCAAACAUUAAUCAAUACAUGUCGGGUGGUAGGUGCGACAUAUGCCAACGGGUGGCUUAUCAUUGUGGGUGCCAGUAAGACGUCGCCGGUGCCUGGAAGCGGGAUGAGGCGAAGACAUGCACGCCGGCGAAUCUUACCCAGCUUCGGGGCUCUCCGUGGAGAUAACACCCCUACUGCUGCUUUGCGGGGUCUCCGCAUGAUCACUGGAUGAACAAGCAGAUACACGAUGCUCCUUGAGCUGUUUGGUGAGAAGAAGAAGAAGGGCACGGCUAGCUCUCCUCCCCUCUCUAUACGGUGUCUAGGACUAGCUUGGAUCAACCCUUUGCAUGGGUGCCCCGGGGGUUUAUAUAGGCCUACCCCUGGGGGUACAAUGAUAAUCCGGCUGGGCGUGGGGCCCAGCCGUCUGUGUCUACACUCGCCGGCUUCUGCGCCGGCUGCUGGGGCCUGCCGGCUGGUGGGUCCCGCCGGCUGCCGGCUCCUUGGUCGACAGGCAGGCCCCACUGUCAUGGGCCUUGUCGGUGGCUGGUUACUGUUACUCAAUCCUGGCGACGAGGGCUUCGCCGAGGUGGGCGUGGCUACAGUGCCGCCGUCCGGCGGGUGAUCGCUGUAGCCUUACCGCGUCUUGUCUCCUUAAUGGGGCGUCUCCUUCGAGGGAGGUGGCAAGCCGGCUGCGGGGAGCCGGCCCCGUCUCGGGCCGACUGGGGGAGGCCUGGCCGCCUUCGGGCGUCUCUCUGCCCGAAGGGGCCCACCGCCCGUGGGCCGCGCUGGCAGCCCGUCGUGGAUGACAUCAGGGUCAACAUGGCAACAGUGCUACGCCAGACGGGUCAUGGCCACCCGUACGGCGCACUGUGCCAGGCGUGCUCCGGGAUUCGGGGGUGGCAGGCUUUACUGUAGCCACGCCCCAUCACAUCGCCGUUAUGUGGAUGCGGACUUCGAGGGUACGAUCUUGACCGCUUUGUGGGAGCCGGCUUCUUGGAGUCGGCCUUCUCGCGGCCGGCUUCUUGGAGCCGGCCCUCCCACGGCUUUCUUCAUGAGGGCUAAAGUCGGGCCGCCUUCCGAUAGUCGGUCUGGGAGACAGCCGGCGAGGGGAAGGCGGCCCCACGUCUUGGAUUCUUGAGGGCCGGAUCGGCUCGUAAUUUUUUCAGAAGGGCCAGGGGGAGCCGGCUUGGCUACCCGUGUUCAUUUACUCCGAAAGUAGUCCCCGAAGCUGAUCGAGCUUCGAGGCUGACAAAGGGACGAGAAGCUUGGUCAGCUUCCUAUCCUGAGGGGCCGGCUUUGCUAGUGCGCGCCGUCUUCGGAAAGCUCCGUUUCCCGUAGGCGGGGACGCGGGUCGGCCUGCGAGCUGACCGCGCGCCAUCCCGCGGGCCACGUGGCAAGGAAAUCCUGCCAACGCACGCGCGCGACGGGACACCGCCGCAGGCCCGGGCCCGCCACUCCUAGGCCUCGGCCCGAGCGCGGAUCUUCUACAGCCCACACGGACCGCUCGCCUUCCCGCGGCGGUUUUAUUACGCCAUUAGGGUGCAAUAAUCGCGGGACGUGGGGGAGUGGGCGCAGUUGAUCCCACGUUCCCUCACACCACGCCUCCUCGGCUCCGUCGCGCGGGUCUAUAAGUAGGGGGAGCAGGGGGAGUGGCAGAGGCUCGCACGCUCUCCCUCGCUCCACCCCUUCUCGCCUUCCUUCUUCUUCCUCAUGCCACCGCAGCAACCCAUUGCCGCGCCGUUCCGCCGUCGGACCUCUAGGUUCUUUUGGUCUCGCCGCAGCGGGGUCGUGCACGUCUCCGUCGUCGCAUCGUCUUGCUCCUCGCUGCAUCGCCCCCAUGGUGUUGUCGAGCUCGUGGGAUGGCUCCAACGUCCACGAGGACCACGUCGAGUUCCUCCGCCGGACGUGGCGCCUACCGGGCGAGAACUUUGUGCGGGUUCGUCAGGCGCCGGCGAGGGAGAUCUCGCCGGCGCUGGAGGAGGGCGAGCGGGUGAUCUUCCGCUUGCACUGCCUGCGCGGCUUCGGCCUCCCGGCGAGCGGAUUCCUUCGAGCUUUCCUUGAAUUCUACCACCUCCACCCGCAUCACCUCACGCCCAACGCGGUGAUGCUGCUGUCGGCUUUUGUCACCCUGUGCGAGGGCUUUCUUGGGGUUCUCCCCACUCUUGAUCUCUGGGGAGAAUUCUUCCAGAGCAAGCUCGGCACCGUCGCGGGCAUGCCCGCCCCCUGCGGAGCCUUCAUUGCCAUGAGGCGGACGGUUGAGAACAAUCCGUUCCCGCCCAUCCCGCUGAUCCAGUCGGUGAAGCUCUGGCAGAAGUCCUACUUUUACGUGAAGAAUGUCGCCCAGCAGGGCGACUACGUCAACUUGCCGGCUUACAUAGCGGGCCCACCGGCUGGGAGGCAACCUUCGUGGAGCUACCGGGCCAGGUCGUUGUCUCAGGCCGGGAACGCAGCCGUCUCCCGGCUCCGGGUGAUGAUCCAGUCGGAGGGCCUGACCAGAGCCGACUUGGUGGCCGCCUUCGUGGAGCGCCAAGUACUUCCGCUCCAAGGCCGGCCUCACAUGAUUUGCCAGAUGAGCGGCCGCUUCGACCCGUGCCGGCUGAGCACCAGGGAGAUGCCUCAUGCAGAGGUGUCUUACAUGGUGAACUAUAUCUCCAACUGCAAGCUCGCCGAGGAUUGGCGAUACAGCAAGGGGCCGUAUUCUCGCGCCAACCCUUCGCCUGCCGUAAGUUUUUCUUCUUUUCUUCCUUUUGUUAGCCGGCCUCACGAUGGCCGACCUCUGAUCAGUUGGUUUGCCCUUAGCAGAACCCUCUUCUUCCGCCGACGGCCGGGGCCGCAGGGGUAGAGCGCCAGCUCCUCCCCGACCGCACGGUGGACGACACCGAUGAUCCGGACCUGGGAGCGGCCGCCAUGGAAGAUGCCAUCGUGGGGGAGGGUGACGAGGCAGGAAGCGCGGGGCUCGGGGCCGGCUUCGAGGACUGGCCGGACGAUGACGAGGUCGAAGCCGCCCCGCACCGCCAGCCGGCGCUUGAUCAUCAAGGCACGGGCCCGUCUGCCGCGCCGGCUGCCCGUGGCGGCGCGCAGAAGCACCGGGCCGCGUCGACCUUCUUCGGCAGCCGGCCGAAAAAAUCCAAGGCUUCCACGGCGGCGACCAAGCGGGAUGAGGCGGCCGUGAAGGCGGCCCGCUUCCGCAAGGCGGUGAAACAGCCGCAGACGAUCUCGGCGUAAGUCGUCGAACGUCUUGUAUUUAUUUUUUGUUGUCCUUUUCGAUUGAAGCUCUUCUAAACCUUUCUUUGCUCGCCGGGCAGGGCACUGCUUUCCCUUGAGUGAGGUCCUGGCGGCUCUGUAGUCGGGCCGACUGGAGGGUCCUCAGGCUCCUAUCGCGUGGAUCCCCACGCCGACCUUAGGGAGGCCACGGAGCGGAACGCACGGGAGGCGCGGGAGGAGCGUGAGGCGACAGAGCGAAGGACCGCCCAGGCGGCAAAGGAGCAGGCGGACGCGGCGGCCAAGGCCCGGGCGGAGGCGGCAGCCGCGGAGACGGAGGUGGGGGCCUUGCACAACCAGCCUCCGCUGCUCGUCGUUCCCCUCCGCGCUGUGGCCCCCGACAUCCCCGUGCCCCCGUCGGAGGAGGUCGACCAAGACCCGCCGGUGAUGGAGAGGAGGGAGGACCACGUGGUCUUCGUGGAGGGGGCGCCGCAGACGGCGCCGACUGGAGCGGGCCAAAGCGGCCACUCAGCCGCGACGCUGGAGCAGCCGGCCGGGGGCGAGCCGGAGGCAGGGGCCGGCCUCGAGGUGCAGCCGGCAUUGCGCCGGCGCGCGGGGGGAGGCACCUCCGCGUCGGAGCCGCACCAAGCUGCGGGCGCCAGCCAGACGGCGGAGGCCCUGGAGGCGGCCAGCGUUAGCAUGUCCGAGUGGACUACGAGCGGGGGGACGGGCGAGCUGAAUGUGGCGGCCCAGGAGGUCCGGAACCGGCUUUAAGCCCAGGCCGCUUCGCUGCAGCGAUACACCCAAGAGUUCCUCGCGACGCGGGCCGUCAUCCGGGUGAGCCUUCUGGCCUUGGUUAUUUUGCUCUUUUGAUUUCUUCCGUGGGGGCGCGUCACCGCACCCACUGGGUGUAGUCCCCGAGUUCUGAGUCGGCUGCUGCGCAGGCGGCUUGAAACUUACUAGGUCCUGACAACUAUCUUACCCUCGCCUCCUGUCUGAUCUUCCAGGAGUAUCAUAACCUCCGCGCUGCUGCCUUCAACUCCCAGGCUCAGGAGCUGGGCCGGAAAACCAAGGACCUGACCAGCUGCCGGAGUGCGUGCUUUGUUUCGUUCAUCUCCUGUGGGGGCGCGUCAGCGCACCAACUGGGUGUAGUCCCCGAGAUUCGGGCCGACUGCUGAGCAGUCGGGUCGGAUCUUCCUUGACGACUUCUUCUUUAUUGAUUUUUCCUUUGUCUUCAUGCUUGCAGGAGCCAAUGCCGACUUGAGGGGGCAGCUCAGCGGGGCCCAGGCCGCCCUUCGCGCCAAGAAAGCCGAGUACAAUGCCUUGGUCCUGGAGCGUGACCGCCUGGCCAAGAAGUUGGCCGACCAGGAGGAGAGCCACAAGGCGGCCCCGAAGAAGGCGCAGGACAGCGAGGACGCCCUGAAGGCCGAGUUCGAGACCGAAGCGGCGGGCUGGGCUGAGGCAAAACAAGCGCUGAGCGAGGGCUUCGGUCGUAUCGAGGAUCUGAUCGAUGGUAAGCCGCCUUCCUCAUUCCUUGCUUGCCCCUUGCCCCUGAUUUGUAUUCCGACUUGUGCUGCUUUUGUUCUUUGUGCAGACUACUUUCCCGGCUACUCCGUCUUCGCCACCCAAACCAUCGAGGCCCAUCGUGAGGCACGCCGACAGGCGGGGGCUGAAAUCGCGUCGGACGCGAGCCGGACGCUUGAGGAGCAACUCUUGGCGGUCCAAGCCCGGCUGCAGCCGGCCCACCGCAUGCUCCGCCGCCUCCAGCGCACUGGGGCGUAGGUGUUGGCCGCCCUCUAACCAGGUGAAACGAUUCCCCGCACCCCGAGUUGGACUGCCGACUGGCUGGAGGUUGCGGUUGGCCGCUUCGAGGCCUGGAAGGCAUCGGCGGCCCGGCUUGGAGCUGGGCGGGCGCUGGAGUUCGUCCGAGCCUGGUAUCCCGGGCUAAACCUGGACCAGCUGCGCACCUGGCGGCUGGAGGCCGACGAGGAGAUGGAAGAGGUGCGGCCGGCUAUCGCUCAGCGUGCCUCGACGAUCGCCGAGUGCACUGACAUCAGCGUCUUCGCUCCUGAAAUAAAUGACGACGGCGUGGCCCAGACGGAGGAGUGGUUCGGGCUGGACCCGGCAGCGGGUGAGGACUCGGCAGAGGAGAUUGCCUCCAGCGAUGAAGGCGAAGACGACGAAGGAGAGGAAGGCGAAGACGUUGAGCCGGCCGGUGAAGCGGCCAGCCAGCCUCAGCCUGACCGUGCCUCCAGCAACGAGGCGCGUGCUAGCGCGCCCUCUGCGGGAGGUGGUGAUCAUGCCGAGGUUCGCCAGCCGGCCACUCCUCCAGCCGGCACUGCCAUCUCCACCGACCUGCCCGACUCGCCGGUCGCUCCCUUGGCCUAAACUGCCGUCCUUGCUUUUCCUGCUUGUUACCCUUUGAACAAUUUUUAUUAAACUUGCGCAGUUCCACCCACUGGUGUAUUCAAACUAUAUUGAAUGCUGGCCUUUGAAGGCCUUUUGUGUAAAUAUGAUCGUGUGCGUGUUUGGUUUCCAUUCGCGUAUGCUUUUUAUCCUUAGGCUGUUUCCUUUGCCGCCUUCUCCUUUUGGGGAGGCAAGUACUCGAGAUUUCUUAGAUUGAAGCGAGGUGAAUGGAAGCCGGCCGGCCGGCUACUCUGGUAGUUGGUCGGUGGUGGGAGAAAAACCGGCUUUUGUUAUAUUAGUCCGUUAGUCCCUAGCCGUUUUUCGUGUGGGCGUCCUUUCCUGCCUUUAACUCUUGCCAGCCGGACAGCCGGUUCUUUGAACUGCGACUUUUGGCAAGAGAAGGCUUGGGUGCCGGCACACUACUUGUCUGACCGCGGGUAGGACUUUUAAUAUAACUCCAGGCGGCCAGUCCCUGGGCCGACUAGUCGAACCCGGUGCCGGACGGAAAAAGUGAAUGUAAUGACAAGGUCAUAAGCAUGAUAUUCUUCAUUUAUAGAUAAAAGACGGCAGUCCCCGAGCUCUCCUCGGGGGGCCUAUUGUCUCGUACUCAGUACAAAAGUUUAGCGUUAUACAUACUGCAUUUCAACUGUAAAAUCUUCGGAGGAGGUUGGCGUUCCAUGGUCGUUCCGACUCCUUGCCGGAGUCGUCUCUCUUUCGUGCCUUCGGCUUCUGCGCGUCGAUCAGGUAGUAGAAGUCGUUGCCUAAAGCUCUGCUGAUGAUGAAGGGGCCCUCCCAAGGGGCCGAGAGCUUGUGCUGGCCAGCUGUUCGUUGGAUCAGCCGGACCACAAGAUCGCCCUCUUGGAAGGAUCUUGGCUUGACCUUUCGGCUAUGGUAGCGGCGCAGGCCCUACUGAUAGAUGGCGGACCGACUGAGGGCUAACAGCCGGCCUUCUUCCAGCAGGUUGACACCGUCUUCUCGUGCUUCCUUGGCCUCCGCCUCCGUAUACAUGGUUAUCCGAGGCGAGUCGAACUCGAUGUCAGUUGGGAUGACCGCCUCGGCACCAUACACGAGGAAGAAAGGAGUGAAGCCGGUUGACUUGUUUGGGGUAGUGCGCAGACUCCAGAGGACGGCCGGCAGCUCAUCGAGCCAACAGCCGGCUGAACGUUCAAGUGGUACGACCAGUCGGGGCUUGAUGCCGGAAAGGAUGAGGCCGUUGGCUCGCUCGACCUGGCCGUUUGACUGCGGGUGGGCAACAGACGCUAAGUCCAACCGGAUGCCUUGCGUCGCGCAGAAACGUGCCAAGGCUCCCUUGGCGAAAUUCGUGCCAUUGUCGGUGAUGAUGCUGUGUGGCAUGCCGUACCGAGUUGUUAUAUCUGCGAUAAAUGUCACGGCAGUCGGCCCAUUCAGCUUUUUGAUCGGCUUUGCCUCAAUCCAUUUGGUGAAUUUGUCCACAGCGACAAGAAGAUGUGUCAUGCCGCCGCGCGCCGUCUUGAAUGGGCCCACCAUGUCCAGUCCCCAAACGGCGAAGGGCCAAGUGAGGGGAAUGGUCUUGAGUGCCGAAGCCGGCAUGUGUUGCUUGGAGCUGAAGAGUUGGCACCCUUUGCAAUGUUUAACUAACUCCUUGGCGUCAUCCAAAGUAGUCGGCCAAAAGAAACCAUGGCGGAAAGCUUUGGCGACGAGUGAUCUUGAGGCCGCAUGGUGGCCGCAUUCUCCUUGGUGGAUGUCUCUGAGGAUUGCAAUGCCCUUCUCUUGCUCGACGCACCGCUGGAGGACUCCAGUGACACUGCGCUUGACGAGCUCUCUGUUGACGAUUGUGUAUGCUCCGGCUCGGAGUUGGACUUGUCUUGCCUCUGUUUCAUCAGCCGGUAGAUCUUGGUUUAUUAGGAAGUUGAGGAUGGACUGAGCCCAUGACGGAGCUGCGACUUCUUCUAUUGCCAACACGGCUACUGCGACCAAGGCGGGCGGGCUGGGUGGUGAAAUGCCGGAGUCGGCCGCCGCCUAUUGUGUUGGUGCAGUCUCCGGGCCGACUACUGCAGUCCCCGAGCCGGGUGCGGCAGCCCUCGGGUCAGGCGUAACUACGGAAGUCCCCGAGCCGCCUAUUGACGUCCCCGGGCCGACUAUCGAAGUCCCCGGGUCACCUGCUUGGUUCUUCGGGCCGGAUCCGGCCGCGUCGAGGUCAGGCGGCACGAAGAUGGAAUCGGACUCUAGAGAUGGCUUGAUGGACGGCUUGAGGAGACGUUCACUACAAGAAAUCUGUUAGUCCACAUGAUGGAUCUGAUCCGUCAUAGGUCUGUACAAAUCCAUCAUGUAUAUCGCGUCAUAAUUUGACGUCGUACCUUCGGUGACGGUUCUUGACCGUGAUGGGUCUACCCCAAGCCCGCCCCAGCCCUAACUAGGCCCAAGCCUGUGUGAUGAAACAAGCCGUCAUGGAUUGUGCCACAUAGGAUUUUUGAUUGGCCUAUUGGAAUGACGUGGCUGCCAGAUGGACACUGUUUUUCGUCAUAGAAUUUGUCACGGGUUUUAGCACAAUUUAAAUUAUUCUAGCACAUUUUUUCACCUAAUUUUGGCGCAGUACAUUUUUCUAGCAUAAUAUUAGAAAGAUCUUAAUGCCGGUUUUAGCCCAAGAAUAAGUAUUUCUACACAGAUCAUAAUGACAAUUUAUGCAACGAUCAGCCUGUAUUAUAAUGCCAGUUUUACUCAUAAUGUUAGUUUUACACAGAUCAUAAUGCCAGUUUAUGCAACCAUCAACUGUAUCUACAGAAUAUACAUCAUUAAUAAAGCAACAUUGCAAGAACGUUUACAUCAACCAUUACAACCUAACUAGCACCACAGAAUAUAUUCGAUCGUGGAGAUCCAAUUCUACAGCUGCUCGGCUAUGCCCUCAAGCUCAUCCAUCUCCCAACAGUGAUAAAAGGUGGGGUUCAGAUCUGCAUAAAUUAGGAGAAGAAUAUUAAGUGAAAGUAAGAUGAUGAAUUUUGAGCUACUAAAGUUUGCUAAUUAUAGCAUUCUGAUCUAAGCUAAAUGAAUUACAACAAACGAAUUACAUGCUGUCCAAAAUUCCUUAACCUGAACAUGACUACAAAUGAGAAUACCAAAGUGUCUAUUGUAUAAAAUAAUUAUAAACAUGAGGUUUCUUAGAAUUGAUCCAAAUAGAAGUGUGUCAAACAGAAGUCUAAUCAAGUUGACCUAUAAGUGACAACGUAACAGAACAUAUAUCACAUAACUCCCAAGUACUACAGUAGUAUGAGCUGAGGCAAUAUAAAUCCGUUGAAUAAAAAAAUCAAUUUAGAAAUAUAUAUAAGCAAGCAUCAUACUAUAAUGACAAAAAUAUGAUACUUCAACUGACAACAAAAGAUGUUCCAACUAAUGCACUCUGUAUAAAACUUCUAGAACUGUAGCUCGAAUGGGUUGUGAUUCUGGAAACUGGAACAACGGGAAUUAAGGAGCUUAUGACAUAUAGCACCGACCAUCAGACCAAGAGAAUUGGCUUCAGAUAAGACCUCAUACCAAGCACUAGGUGACAUAAUUUCAUUAUGUUCAUGCUUGCUUCCUGAAAAGAGUUGAAAAACAAUGGAGGAAAGAUUGUCUAAAUUUAUUCAAGGAUCUCAAUCAUUUCAAAGCAGCAAGGAUGCUAGGAAGCACAUGGUAUAUAGAUUCAAAGUUGAUAUACCUUCUUAAGAAUGUUGGAUGUUAGAUUUCAAAGCGGCACAAACAGUCGAGUAUUUUUCAAAAGCCUGCACAAGAUCAGGUGAUGUGAAUGCACCUGCAAGCACAAUAUUCAGACUGUGAGCUACAAUAUUAAGACUUAGAUGUAAAAAAAGUUAAGAAGUCUGUUAGAUGUUAGAUUCACACUAUCAUUUACCAAAAUUGAGAUAGAUACCAGUAGUAUCAAUCUUUUAUUAUUAUUAAUCUCUAUUUCCUUUAGUUGGAUCCUAGUUUUUUAGGUGUGUCUAUAAAAACAGAUCUCUUUAGCCAAUAAUAAACCUAAGUUAUUAUUCAAAAUGUAGUGAUUUUAAUAGUUGCCUUUUCAAGCAUGGUACAUAUUUUCCUGUGCCUAGAAUAUCCUUAUAAGCUAUUAAUUUCGAAAUUUAUGCAAGAUGCAAACAAUUCCACCAGUAAGCAUUUGAUAUAUUGUAUAUUCGUAUAUCACAAAACAAAGUCUUAGCUUAUUGCAAAGCGAUGAUACAAAAUUAAAACAUAUCAUAGAGAACGCACUACACAUGGUAUGCCGAAUAGAAUAACUGAUGAGAGGCAAGUUCCAACUCCAUUGUCCAGAAUAUAUGGAAUGUGGGAUAUACCAAGUGGAUAUUGAUCUGGCUGUCCAACAUUCUCUGAAGGCAGAAGUACGACUACGAAAAUACAUGUUAGCUCUUAACACGUAAAAGACAGAGUCGACGGGAUCAAUGAUUUUCUAAAUUGUGUCCAAACGCCAUACAGAACAUGUAACAAACAUGUUCUGCUUGAACCCCAGACACAAUUGCAAUUCAGAUUCACAUCUUAGAACAACGAUCACCAUUGCAGGUCCAAGAGUAAUUUACAAGGCAGUGCAAAACAGUAAAACGGGAGUGAGAGAGCAGCAUUUACAUUUUGAUGUGCACAAAAUUCAAGAAGUGAGAUACCAUAUUCAGACUCUAAAAAAUCUAGAUUCAGACUGUCAGUUACCAAAAUCAAGAUAUACACUAAUAAAUCAAUAUGUCAAUCACAUGAAACAACAAAGAAUACUUGUAUGAACACAAUGCAUUUUCUCGACUAAAUACAUGCCUACAAAGAAGAUAAGUGUAGGCAUCAAAAUCAUCCAUUUGAACCUGCAACUGUUCAGGAUUAUUGUGCAAAGGAGGUCGGGAUCGCGACAGAGGAGGUCAGGGUCGCCACCAUCCAGCCCCAACGCGCGCGAGCACAUCGAGCUAGGGGGCUCCAUCCAGGAGGUGGAGAGGGCGCGGUGUGGGACGGAGAGGAACCGACGGAGACACGCCGGCGAUGGUCGUGACGCUGCAGCCGAAACCCUAGCCACGGCUAGGGGUCACGGGCGAGCGCUGGACACUGGGAGCGGCAGAUCUAGGCAGCCUGGAGGACCUGGGGGCGGGGAUCACAGACAAGCUCGUGAGUGUGCUGCGCGGUGGCGGACGUCGCCGUAAUCGGCGGGCUGUCGCUGCGCGAGGGAUUUCAUGAGAGAGAGACAGGUUGCGAGAGGGAUGGGUGGAUGGGGGGUGCGACGGAUCUGGUGGCUGGCCCGAGCUGCGAGGUGAGUGGAGGGAAGGGGACGACCGGCGGUGAGCUGUGGCAGGAGGAAGACUGGUGGCAGGUGGUGGGUGGCGGCGAUGGGUGGGAGAGGAGGGAUUCGGGAGGGGCUGCGUAUGAGGGGGGAGAAGGGACCGAACAAGAGGGUUUAGGGUUAGCCUUUUAUACCAGGAAUGGUUAGUCGGGCUUUGACGGGCUUGGGAGGGCUUGAGCGGGCUGUACUGGGCUGUCCAUGACAGUUUCUAAAAAGGUCAUGGGAAAUCCGUCAUGCAUUAACAAGUUUCUUGUAGUGGUUGCAGAGAGACACCGGUUGGUAUUGCCUGCCGAGUGGAGCCUAUACGAGCCAGGGUAUCAGCUGGCUCGUUGUCGGCUCGCGGUACGUGGAGGAACUCGCAUCCUUCAAAGUACCCGCUGAUCUGCUGAACGAGGAAGCGGUAGCUUGCCAUAUUUGCGUCCUUGGCGUCCCAGUCGCCGGAUGACUGCUGGACUACCAAGUCCGAGUCGCCGUAACAUAGGAUCCGGCGUAUGCCGAGCUCUUUGACAAGCCGGAGCCCGUGUAUGAGCGCCUCGUACUCGGCCACGUUGUUGGAGGCGGCAAAGUGAAUUUGCAGCGUGUAUCUGAGCUUUUCGCCUUUGGGAGAGGUGAGGAUGACGCCGGCUCCCAAGCCGGUGCGCAUCUUGGACCCAUCGAAGUGCAUGCGCCAAUGAGUGGAGUCGGGAGCUGGCGGUAGGUACUGGGUCUCGGCCUAGUCGACGAGGAAGUCGGCCAAUGCUUGAGACUUGAUGGCGGUACGAGGCUGGUAGAAGAUCGUGUAGGGGGCCAGCUCGAUGGCCCAUUUCGCCACCCGGCCGGAUGCAUCCCGGCUGCCUAUGAUCUCGACAAGCGGGGCGGUGCAUACGACCAUGAUGGGAUGCUCUUGGAAGUAGGGCUUCAGCUUCUUGGCGGCGAAGUACACGCCAUAGCACAUCUUCUGGUAGUGCGGGUAGUUCUGCUUCGAGGUAGACAGCACCUCACUCAAAUAGUACACCGGCCUCUGGACAGGCUGGGCUCGGCCCUCUUCUGGGCCCUGGACUACGAUGACGGUGCUGACCACCCGGCUGGUUGCAACAAUGUAGAGGAGCAUGGGCUCUUUCUCAGUCGGCGCCGCCAGGACAGGCGGCGUGGCCAGCAUCUUCUUCAGCUCGUGAAAAGCUUGGUCGGCUUGGUUGUUCCACUCGAAGUGAGUGGUCUUCUUCAUGAGGCGGUAGAGGGGGAGAGCUUUCUCUCCGAGCCGACUGAUGAAGCGGUUCAGGGAGGCCAAGCACCCGGUGAACUUCUGGACGUCUCGAAGUUUGGUGGGGAUCGCCAUUCUCUCAAUGGCCUUGAUCUUUACUGGGUUGCAUUUGAUGCCACGUUCGGAGACCAGGAAGCCUAGGAGCUGGCCGGCUGGCACUCCGAACACGCAUUUCUCGGGGUUGAGCUUGAUUUGGAACCGGCGCAAGUUCUCAAAUGUUUCCUUGAGGUCUUCCAGCAAGGCGUUGCGCUUCUCCGUCUUCACCACAAUGUCGUCUACGUAGACGUUGGCAUUUCUGCCGAGCUGCUUGAGGAGGCACUUCUGCAUGCAACGCUAAAAAGUGGCACCGGCAUUUCUUAAGCCGAAUGUCAUAGUCAGGUAGUAGAAGGCUCCGAAUGGCGUGAUGAAGGCGGUCUUCAGGCGGUCUAUCAGAUCUAACUUUAUCUGGUGGUACCCUGAGUAAGCAUCCAAGAAACUCAACAGCUCGCAUCCGGCCGUGGAGUCUAUCACUUGAUCAAUCCUCGGCAGGGCAAAGGGAUCUUUGGGGCAGGCCUUGUUGAGGCUCGUGUAGUCUAUGCACAUGCGCCACUUGUUGUUCUUCUUUAGCACGAGGACCGGGUUGGCGAGCCACUCUGGAAAGAAAACCUCCAUAAUGAAGCCUGCCGCCAGAAGCCGGGCUAUCUCUUCUCUUACAAUCCUUCUUUUCUCCUCCGACAGUCGGAGGAGGGGUUGUUUGACUGGUUUUGCGUCUUCUCGGACGUGUAGCUUGUGCUCGGCGAAUUCCUUUGGAACACCCGGCAUGUCCUUGGGGGACCAUGCAAAGAUGUCCCGAUUCUCACGGAGGAAAUCGGCGAGCUCGCCUUCCUAUUUGCCGUUUUUAGGUUUGCCCCGAUGACGGCAAACCUCCCUGGGUGCUCGGGGUCAAGGGGUAUCUUCUUCGUCUCCUUGGCCGGCUGGAAAGAUCCUUGGGCAUCAUACUCCUUGGGAUCGGGGGACAAGGCCGACUGUUUGCCGGCCAUGGCCAUGACUCGGUCCAACAUCUUAUUUUCUUCGGCAAUCACAAGGGACUCAGCCAGCCGGCUGCUGGCAGCUGCGCACUCGGCCGAUUUCUUGUAAUCGUCGGCUAUGGUGAUGAUGCCCUUGGUGCUCGGCAUCUUCAUCUUGAGGUAGGCGUAGUGGGGAACUGCCAUGAACCUGUCCAAGGCAGGGCGGCCAAGCAAUGCAUGGUAGGGGCUCUCCAGGUCCACCACUUCAAACCAGAUCGCUUCCCGUUGGAAAUGAUACUUGUCCCCAAAGAGUACAUCGAUCUUGAUCUUGCCAAUGGGUGCGCAGGACAGGCCAGGUACAAUGCCAUGGAACACAGUCCGAGUAGGCAUGAGUUGCUUCGUCUUGACGUUCAGCUUCUCCAGGGUGUCACGGUACAGAAUGUUGAUGCUGCUCCUACCGUCUAUCACUACGCGGGAGAAACGGGCGGCGCGUUUGUCCAUUGCAAGGGUGGCAUCCAAAACCAACGCAUAAGAGCCGGGAGAUGGCAUCACCUCUGGGUGGUCGGCCCGGCUCCAGCUGAUAGGUUUUUCUGACCAGUGCAUGUGCUCGGCAGGGUUGGCAGCGACCAUGCUGACUUCCUGGUACUCUCGGCGUCUGCCGCGCCGGUCUUCGGGCUAGCUUGUAAAGACGACAUAGGCGGCAUGCUCGUCGGGGAACUCAUCGUGCACGGCUCCGACUGCAGGCCGAGCGGUCGGCGACUGCGGAGCCGGAGACGGCGAACCGGCAGGCGGAGGCGGCGCGAGCCCUUCGCCUUUGGAGAUUCGGGUGAGCCAGUGGCACUUCCGGGUUGUGUGGUUGGACGGCUUCGCGCCACUGUGGAACUUGCAUGGGGCGUCAAGAGUUUGCUCGUAGGAGAAGGCCGGCCGCCAAGCUGGCUUGCCGCCCCUCUGCUUCUUGGGUGUGGGCCGCCCUUCGGGCUGCUCGUCUUCGACUGUGGCCACCUGCCGACUGGUGGAGGACGGCACGGGGCCCUUGCGCUUGUGGUCGUUCUGGUGUGGGCGUCGGCUGGAGUCCCCAGCCGGCGUCUUGGGCGCCGGGUUGAGUACUUUCCUGGACGCGUCUACCCGGAGUUCGGUCUUCAUUGAGGAGUCGGCGGUGGCGUACUUGUCCGCUAUGACCAGAAGCUCGUCGAGGGUAGUCGGCUCGUCGCAAAGGAGUUUGUGCUUGAGGAGGGUGCCUUCUCGGCACCCGGCAGUGAAGUAUUCUAUGGCUUGCACCUCGUGCACCCCUUCGCAACAGUUGCGGAGCUCGGCCCAACGCGUGAGGUAGUCACGAGUGGACUCGGCGGGGCCUUGUACACACAAGGAGAGCUGUUUGGGCUUGGGAGCCCGCUUGUAGGUGCUGGUGAAGUUGCGGACGAAGGCUUCUGUGAAGUCUAGCCAGCUGUUGAUGUUGUAUGGCUUGAGGCUGUUGAGCCAGGUCCGCGCUGUGCCUUGCAGCAUGACGGCCACGUACUUCACGGCAACGCGCCUGUUGCCGUUUGCUAUACUAACCGCCGUGGAGUAGUCGAUCAACCAAUCUUCCGGCUUCACGGAGCCGUUGUACUUGGGUGUGUCUCUUGGGAGCGAGAACCCUUUGGGGAAAGGCUCGUCGCGGAUGCGGGGGCCGAAGCAAGGUGGGCCGACAUCAUCUUCUUCUUCCAGCGCCAGGGAUCGCGCUAGGCGGUCGAUCCGAUGGCGGGCGUCGUUCUCGCCGACUCCUUCGCGGCCACCUAGUCGGCCGCUGAGAGUCGGAUGUGCAACAGGCGGUGCGGUGGGAUGUCUCUCCACAUGGGGCCGAGGCGGAGGCGGGUUGCCCCGCCACUCCACGGCCCGGGGAUGGCCUUCUGCGUCUCGCUCGAUGGAGAUUCGGGUUCGGCUUCGGCUGGCAGCCGACUCUUUCUCGUGCCGCGCGCGGGUUUUACCCAUAGUCGGCGUCCGAGACGUCGCGCCAUGAUCUCGGCGCGGGGGAGGGCUUUCCGCACGGGCGUCGGCUUCGUGCCGCUGCGCGGCCGCAUCGAUUAGCUGCUGGAUGCGUCUGGUCAUGUGAGGGAGUUCUUCGGCCCCCAAUCCGUCUAGCUCGUCUACGGCCGCCUGGGCGGCGCACAGGUUCUCGAGUGGAGUGGCGUAGACUGGGCGGUCGACUCCUAGCGUGUCGGCGACGAUAGCGCCGCGCUGUUUGACAACGCCGGCCCGGCUGGGCCCGCCUGGGGGCGGCGUGCCAAAGGCGGCGCGGUCGGCUUCGCGCCGGUGGGCCUUAGUGAGGCGUCUCAUGGAAACCAACUUCCGGCCCUCCGCGAGGAGGGCGAGGCGGCGAGCCUCCAGUGCUUCAGCAUCGGCAUCGGCCGGGAGGGGGAUGGACAAGUUGUGGACCGCCGCAUGCGGGGCGUCGUGGGCGCUCUCGCCAGAAGAGCCGCCGUGCCCAAUGACCAUCACCUCGGUGGUGACAGCGUCGCGGCCAUCGGCACGGGGAAGCGGGUCGUUGUAGAUCGUGACAUCGGUGGGGAAGGUGUCGACCGAAGCCGUGUCGGAGUCAACAGGCAUCGGAUCGGUGGAGCCAAACGACUCCAAGUCCGCAGCAGGCUCGCCGGAGACGUGGAGCUGGCCGAGGAGAUCGGCGAGGCCGUCGGUGCCCGCGUCAGAGGCGAGCUCGUCGGAGAUGACGGUCUUGUCAAGGAGAUCGGCGAGGCCGCUCGCUGCGCAGACGUUGGUGACGCCUUGCAGCGCAUCGUGGCAAGCGGCGUGCCGGGCUGGCUACGCUCGCUGGGGAGGAAGAGGGUUCCCGUCCAGAACAGGUCUCCGGACGAUGGUGCACCUGGCCCCACGGUGGGCGCCAAAUGUCGGGUGGUAGGUGCGACAUAUGCCAACGGGUGGCUUAUCAUUGUGGGUGCCAGUAAGACGUCGCCGGUGCCUGGAAGCGGGAUGAGGCGAAGACAUGCACGCCGGCGAAUCUUACCCAGCUUCGGGGCUCUCCGUGGAGAUAACACCCCUACUGCUGCUCUGCGGGGUCUCCGCAUGAUCACUGGAUGAACAAGCAGAUACACAAUGCUCCUUGAGCUGUUUCGUGAGAAGAAGAAGAAGGGCACGGCUAGCUCUCCUCCCCUCUCUAUACGGUGUCUAGGACUAGCUUGGAUCAACCCUUUGCAUGGGUGCCCCGGGGGGUUUAUAUAGGCCUACCCCCCGGGGGUACAAUGGUAAUCCGGCUGGGCGUGGGGCCCAGCCGUCUGUGUCUACACUCGCCGGCUUCUGCGCCGGCUGCUGGGGCCUGCCGGCUGCCGGCUCCUUGGUCGACAGGCAGGCCCCACUGUCAUGGGCCUUGUCGGUGGCUGGUUACUGUUACUCAAUCCUGGCGACGAGGGCUUCGCCGAGGUGGGCGUGGCUACAGUGCCGCCGUCCGGCGGGUGAUCGCUGUAGCCUUACCGCGUCUUGUCUCCUUAAUGGGGCGUCUCCUUCGAGGGAGGUGGCAAGCCGGCUGCGGGGAGCCGGCCCCGUCUCGGGCCGACUGGGGGAGGCCUGGCCGCCUUCGGGCGUCUCUCUGCCCGAAGGGGCCCACCGCCCGUGGACCGCGCUGGCAGCCCAUCGUGGAUGACAUCAGAUUCAACAUGGCAACAGUGCCGCGCCGGACGGGUCAUGGCCACCCGUACGGCGCACUGUGCCAGGCGUGCUCCGGGAUUCGGGGGUGGCAGGCUUUACUGUAGCCACGCCCCGUCACAUCGCCUUUAUGUGAAUGCGGACUUCGAGGGUACGAUCUUGACCGCUUUGUGGGAGUCGGCUUCUUGGAGUCGGCCUUCUCGCGGCCGGCUUCUUGGAGCCGGCCCUCCCACGGCUUUCUUCAUGAGGGCUAAAGUCGGGCCGCCUUCCGAUAGUCGGUCUGGGAGACAGCCGGCGAGGGGAAGGCGGCCCCACGUCUUGGAUUUUUGAGGGCCGGAUCGGCUCGUAAUUUUUUCAAAAAGGCCAGGAGGAGCCGGCUUGGCUACCCGUGUUUAUUUACUCCGACAGUACAACUCAGAGGAUAUUACCUUAGCAGCGGAAGCUUUGAUUCGAAAUUGUACUGGACCUUGUCAGUCUGAUUGUUUAUUUUCUCUUAUGUUUUUCCUUCCUUUCUCUUGGUGGACGUGUAAUAGAGAAGCAUCAUCAAUAACAACAUGCCGCCUCAUCUCUCCAUAGCAGCAAGGUACCACACGCAACCAGCAGGACUGAGCUCGUGCGCCGCCGUGAAUAAUGGCAGGCGCAUCUAUCGGAAGGGACAUGGCACCGAUGCGGUGAAUCUCAUGCCGCAGUGGGCGGCGGAGAGAUCCGAGGCGGCCAGGGGCGUGGCGACCUCGGCGGUGGGGACGAGGGUUUGUUGAGAUUAAUGCGUGAUUUCAAAACAGACGAGAGAUUACGUGAUCUCGGAAGCACUCAGCCGUGAGAUUAAAAAUGAAUCGACGUCGCUCGACCAGUCUGACGAAUGUCUCCUAUCACACGUCGGGGAGGAAGUGUUUCCCUUUCUUUAUUAUAAUUCGGAAUGUAUAUUUCUGUUACAUCUUGCUAGCCAGAAUAUGGCAGUUUCUACACAAAGCCCAAAAAUAACAGUAUGCAAUAUAAAGUGUGGUAAACUGGCAAAGGUCAUCAACUUUUUUUUGGCAAACUUGCAAAGAUCAUCAACUUACUUAGUUAGACAUCUUUUUAAUCAUUUUUAACACAGUUUAAUUACAAAUGCUUACAUAGAUGCACAUAUACUGCUGGAAUUUAGUCUAUUUUGGGCAGCCAAUAACUAUUUCAGAAAUUCUUAAUAAAUCCUAGAGGCCCACUUAGCCCAUUUGUGCAAGGCAAGGGAUACUACUAAAGUUUAGUCCCAUAUUGCUAGUUUAGUGGGAGUUGGACCUCCUUAUACGGAAGGUUUUUUCCCCACUUGUACGAGCAUGAGAACAAGAGGGAUAUCCACGCGCGCUCCUCCUCCGCCGCCACGCCUCGCCUCGUCACGACGCGGGUUGCGGGAAUGAGCCGAUGUCUAAAUUUUUGCCACGCACUACGGGUAUACGAGAGGUCACUCGGGAGCUGAAAAGUUUUUGCUGUAGUGGAUAUUGAAUAUGAACGCUGCACCCUUCGGCUGCUGCCUGUUCGUUUCAUCUCCCGCAUUCCCUUCAGCUCCCGGCACAGCCUCUCGCCUCCUUCUCUUGCGCCUAUAAAAGGGAGGUCGCUCCUCUCAGAGAGACGCACCAGAACUUCUCCUUCCUCUCGCCACCAGUUCCAAUCUCUGAGCUGCUGUUGUCUUCCUCAUCCCGGCUUGCGGCGUGCACCGCAGGUCGGGACAGUAGGCCUCCGAAACCGCACCUCUUUGAGUCCUGUACGGGAGAAUGGUGAUAAGGUUUUUGGGGAGCGCUCUACGCGACUACUGACUGACUCCUUCGUCACGGACGCCCCGGACUCCGACGACUACUUCCCCGACGACGACUUCUUCCCCGACGUUGACAACCUCCUCGACGACAUGGCUGGCGAGGACACCGACCCCAAGUCCAGUGCUACUACUGCUGCUGUCCCGUAUGUGUUCUUCUUUCUGUUAGAUACCCUGCCACAGUUUCUCGUACUAAUACUUGCCCUAAAUAUGUUAGGUUCUACCUCAUAUAUGCAACUAGUUCUACUGUCUGCUAUAGAUAUGAUAAGCUGCGGUUCAUAUAUGCAGAAGCUAUUUUCCUUCUCCCUGUCAGAAGGCAUGACUUGUUUUAUCUCUACUAUAUUAGUCAUGCUUUAUCUAGUAUUUCUGUUAAUAAAAUCAUUCGGUAAAUUGCUCAUAUUUCCAACAAUCCAAAAACCUUAUUAUAGGCAAUUUACCCCGAGUGGUUUUGCUGCUUCCAUGAGACCUCCUAUGUUUGAGGGUAUCCACUAUAAGAGGUGGCGCGUGAGAGCAGUCUUAUGGUUUCAAACCAUGAGUUGCUAUGACGCCACUCUCAGCAAACCUGAAGGAGAGCUUGAUGCUCAACAGGCACAAGCUUUUCAGAAAAUGGAUACUCUGUUUAAGGCUGCUCUUUUGAGUGUUCUUGGUGAGAACAUAGUUGAUGCUUAUGCGUUAAUUGAUAAUGGAAAAGAUAUGUGGGAUGCACUCGAGGCCAAGUUUGGGGUCUCGGAUGCUGGCACUGAGCUGUACAUCAUGGAACAAUUCUAUGAUUAUAGGAUGACUGAAGAGCGCUCCGUGGUUGAGCAAGCUCAUGAGAUACAGUCAUUUGCUAGAGAACUUGAGCACUUCAGUUGUAUGCUACUGGACAAGUUUGUUGCUGGAGGUAUCAUCAGUAAGCUUCCUCCUUCAUGGAGGAACUUUGCUACCUUGCUGAAGCAUAAGAGGCAGGAGUUUUCCGUCCCGGAUCUCAUUGGCACUCUUGAUGUGGAAGAAAAGGCGAGAGCAAAGGACACACAUGCUCGAGGUAUUGAGGGAGGAUCUAGUGCCAAUGUGGUACAGAAGAAGAACUUUCAGCCACACAAGUUCAAGAACAAGGGCAAGUUUGAUGGAAAAGCAAAGUUUGAUGGGAAGAACAAGGCUGUGCAACACACGAACUUCAAGAAGAAGAAUGACAAGAAGAAAGGUGCUUUUCAUGUGUGUGGGGAUCCUGAUCAUUGGGCUCCUAGUUGCCCUAAUCGCUAUGACAAGCGUCAUCCUGGGAAAGGCGGCAAGACCGCUAAUGUUGUCAUUGGAGACACUGACAUGAAGGAUGCUGGGUAUGGUAUAUUUCCCACUAUUCUUUCAGUAUGUCAUUCUCCUGACUGGUUGAUUGACACGGGUACUAAUGUGCAUGUAUGCGGUGAUAUUUCCAUGUUUUCGUCUUAUCAGACCGCAGGGACUUCAACCGUGCUGAUGGGCAACGGUUCAAGUGCUUCUGUUCGUGGUGUUGGCACGGUCGAUCUGAAGUUUACUUCGGGGAAGAUCGUGCGGCUGAAAAACGUGCAUUAUGUCCCCUCCGUCAAUAAAAAUCUUGUUAGCGGAUCUCUUCUGUGUAGAGAUGGCUACAAGCUUGUCUUUGAGUCGAAUAAAUUUGUAAUAUCCAAGUAUGGAACCUUUGUUGGUAAAGGCUAUGAGUCAGGAGGCUUGUUUCGUUUAUCCUUAUCAGACGUUUGCAAUAAAGUUGUUAAUCAUAUUUGCAACGAUAGUGAAUCCAAUGUGUGGCAUUCACAUCUUUGUCAUGUUAACUUUGGUUGCAUGUCGCGACUAGCGAAGUUGAACUUAAUCCCUAGUUUCACCACUGUCAGGGGAUCUAAGUGUCAAGUGUGUGUGCAAACUAAGCAACUUCGUAAGUCUCACACGACUGCGGAAAUAAGAAAUCUUGCACCACUAGAGCUCAUACAUUCAGAUCUAUGUGAAAUGAAUGGUGUGUUGACAAAAGGUGGAAAGAAAUAUUUCAUGACGUUAAUUGAUGACUCCACUAGAUACUGCCGUGUGUAUCUUCUGAAAUCUAAGGAUGAGGCUUUGAACUUUUUCAAGAUCUAUAAAGCUGAAGUAGAAAACCAACUUGAUCGAAAAAUCAAGAGGCUUAGGUCCGACCGUGGUGGAGAGUAUUUUUCCAAUGAGUUUGAUGCUUUUUGUGCGGAACAUGGUAUAAUCCAUGAGAGGACUCCUCCCUACUCACCUCAGUCAAAUGGGGUGGCCGAAAGAAAGAACCAUACUCUAACUAAUUUGGUUAACGCCAUGUUAGAUACAUCGGGUCUCUCCAAGGCAUGGUGGGGGGAGGCGAUAUUGACAGCAUGUCAUAUUCUGAACCGAGUCCCCACAAAGAACAAAGAGAUAACUCCAUUCGAGGAAUAGGAGAAGAAAAGGUUAAAACUCUCUUAUCUGCGAACAUGGGGUUGUUUGGCGAAAGUCAAUGCUCCAAUUUCAAAGAAGCGGAAGCUUGGACCAAAGACUGUGGAUUGUGUUUUCUUGGGAUAUGCUUUUCAUAGCAUUGGCUAUAGAUUCUUGAUUAUAAAAUCUAAGGUACCUGACAUGCAUGUCGGUACAAUCAUGGAGUCGAAUGAUGUGACUUUCUUUGAAGAUAUCUUUCCCAUGAAGGAUAUGGCUACCUCAUCUAAUCAGGAGAUGCCUAGUUCAUCAAAUCAGGAACCAGUUACAAUUACCAAACCUGUCAUUUCGAUAGAACACUUUGAAAGUCCUGUGGAGGAGAACAAUGAAGUUCCUGCUAGGAGCAAGAGACAAAGGAUUAUAAAGUCCUUUGGUGAUGAUUUUCUUGUGUAUCUCAUAGAUGACACUCCCAGUUCUAUUUCAGAGUCCUAUGCAUCUGAAGAUGCUGACUACUGGAAGGAAGCGAUUCGUAGCGAGAUGGAUUCCAUCUUGGCGAAUGAAACCUGGGAGAUAACUGAUUGUCCUUAUGGGUGCAAACCUAUAGGAUGCAAAUGGGUAUUCAAGAAGAAGUUUAGGCCUGAUGGUACUAUUGAGAAGUACAAGGCUCGGCUCGUGGUUAAGGGUUAUACCCAAAAGGAAGGUGAAGACUUCUUUGAUACUUACUCACCUGUGGCUCGACUGACCACUAUUCGAGUUCUACUUUCACUAGCUGCCUCGCAUGGUCUUCUCGUUCAUCAAAUGGAUGUUAAGACUACUUUCCUAAAUGGAGAGUUGGACGAGGAAAUUUAUAUGGAACAACCAGAUGGGUUUAUACUAGAUGGUCAGGAAGGGAAAGUGUGCAAGUUGCUAUCUUUGUACGGACUUAAGCAAGCACCCAAACAGUGGCAUGAGAAGUUUGAAAGAACUUUAACAGCUGCAGGCUUUGUUGUGAACGAAGCUGACAAAUGUGUGUACUAUCGCCAUGGUGGGGGCGAGGGAGUUAUCUUGUGCUUGUAUGUUGAUGACAUACUGAUUUUCAAAACAAAUCUGAAUGUUAUUAAGAAGGUCAAGGAUUUCCUAUCUCGUUGUUUUGAGAUGAAGGAUUUAGGAGUGGCUGAUGUCAUUCUGAACAUCAAGUUGUUGAGAGACGAUGAUGGUGGGAUUACAUUGCUUCAAUCUCACUAUGUGGAAAAGAUCUUGAGUCGCUUUGGCUAUAGUGACUGCAAGCCCUCUUCAACACCAUAUGAUGCGAGUGUGUUACUACAAAAGAAUUGAAGAAUUGCUAGAGAUCAAUUGAAAUAUUCUUAGAUUAUUGGCUCGCUUAUGUACUUAGCAAGUGCUACAAGACCUGACAUCUCUUUUGCUGUUAGCAAACUGAGUCGGUUUGUCUCAAAACCAGGAGAUGUGCAUUGGAAUUAUGGAAUUCACUACACCAGGCACCCAAAGGUGCUUGAAGGGUAUAGUGACUCAAACUGGAUCUCAGAUGCUGAUGAGAUAAAGGCCACGAGCGGUUAUGUAUUCACUCAUGGAGGUGGCGCUGUUUCUUGGAAGUCUUGCAAGCAGACCAUCUUAACGAGGUCAACAAUGGAAGCAGAACUCACAACACUAGAUACAGCUAUGGUCGAAGCAGAUUGGCUUCGCCGGCUCUUGAAUGACUUGCCGGUUGUUGAGAAACCUGUACCGGGUAUUCCUAUGAACUGCGACAAUCAAACUGUGAUCACGAAAGUGAGCAGCUCAAAGGAUAAAAUGAAGUUAUCAAGACACGUUUAGAGAAGGUUAAAGUCUGUCAGAAAAUUGAGAAACUCUGGAGUUAUUGCAUUGGAUUAUAUCCAAACGUCUAAAAAUCUGGCAGAUCCUUUUACUAAGGGUCUAUCACGUAAUGUGAUAGAUAAUGCAUCAAGGGAGAUGGGUAUGAGACCCACAAUAUGAGUUGUUCACAGUGGUAACCUAUUCUUUGUGAUCGGAGAUCCCGUGAAUUAGAUGUGGAAGACAAGCUGUUGGUCAACUUGGAGGAGAGUACCCUUACUGUUAAAAUACCACUCCAUAAAGAUGCAAUACUCUCCUAAUCUGCAUGGCAGGUUGAUGUAUAUCUUAAUGUGUUCUAAGUGGCUCUUUGAAGCAGAGAUGUUGUCCUGCAGAACAUCUUUUGAAGAACGCACCUAUGUGAGUCUGAUUGUUAAACGUCGCAAUCUAUGAGAGUAGGGUUCUCUCUAGUAAACUUAUGAAAGGUCUCGGAGUAUGACGCAUAAGCUCCACCCGCGGGGAAGACCCACGGUAGCCACGUAUCGGUCAAGGCUUUAUGUGAAGCUAGAUUCGCAGAAAACUUGCAGUUCAAGGCCCAGUCCACUGUUCAAGUUGCUUACUAGUGUAGCAUAGAGUUCUAGGUGGAAGUUCAACAUAACAGUCUCCACUGUAGUACCGGUAUAUAAAACAGUGUUUUGGAACCAAAGGCAAAUUUCUGUGCGCCUCUGGGAUCUGGUGGGGGAUUGCUGGAAUUUAGUCUAUUUUGGGCAACCCAAUAACUAUUUCAGAAAUUCCUAAUAAAUCCUAGAGGCCCACUUAGCCCAUUUGUGCAAGGCAAGGGAUGCUACUAAAGUUUAGUCCCACAUUGCUAGUUUAGUGGGAGUUGGACCUCCUUAUAAGGGAGAUUCUUUCCCCACUUGUACGAGCAUGAGAAAAGAGGGAUAUCCACGCGCGCUCCUCCUCCGCCGCCCGCCUCGCCACGCCUCGCCUCGCCUUAUCACGACGCGGGUUGCGGGAAUGAGCCGAUGUCUAAAAUUUUGCCACGCACUACGGGUAUACGAGAGGUCACUCGGGAGCUGGAAAGUUUUUGCUGUAGUGGAUAUUGAAUACGAGCGCUGCACCCUUCGGCUGCUGUCUGUUCAUUUCAUCUCCCGCGUUCCCUUCAGCUCCCGGCGCAGCCUCUCGCCUCCUUCUCUUGCGCCUAUAAAAGGGAGGUCUCUCCUCUCAGAGAGACGCACCAGAACUUCUCCUUCCUCUCGCCACCGGUUCCAAUCUCUGAGCUGCUGCUGUCUUCCUCAUCCCGGCUUGCGGCGUGCACCGCAGGUCGGGACAGUAGGCCUCCGAAACCGCACCUCUUUGAGUCCUGUACGGGAGAAGGGUGAUAAGGUUUUUGGGGAGCGCUCUGCGCGACUACCGACUGACUCCUUCGUCACGGACGCCCCGGACUCCGACGACUACUUUCCCGAUGACGACUUCUUCCCCGACGUCGACAACCUCCUCGACGACAUGGCUGGCGAGGACACCGACCCCAAGUCUAGUGCUACUGCUGCUGCUGUCCCGUAUGUGUUCUUCUUUCUGUUAGAUAUCCUACCACAGUUUCUCGUACUAGUACUUGCCCUAAAUAUGUUAGGUUCUACCUCAUAUAUGCAACUAGUUCUACUGUCUGCUAUAGAUAUGAUAAGCUACGGUUCAUAUAUGCAGAAGCUAUUUUCCUUCUCUCUGUCAGAACGCAUGACUUGUUUUAUCUCUACUAUAUUAGUCAUGCUUUAUCUAGUAUUUCUGUUAAUAAAAUCAUUCGGUAAAUUGCUCAUAUUUCCAACAUAUACUCACUCCUAUAAGCAAACACAUGCAUUCAUGCUCUACUCAUAUGAGUGCGCACCUCCAAAAUAUUGAGCUGGCACAACAUGUUAAGAUUGACAAAGUCACCACGGUCAUAUGUAGUCGAGUGAAGCACCAUGCAUGCACGUGGUGCAGCUCCAUGCGCAUGCACACUGAUCCGUCCUCCUCGCCGAGAACUAGGCCUUGUACUUGGUCCUCACCACCGCAUGGUCCUCGGCUGGGAGCCUUUGACGGCCGCGUGCUCCCCGGUAGGGACGAUGGCGCCAACGGCAGGGCCCCCACCGAGCUCGCAGACGCUCGGUGACUGCCGGUGGGCAUGAGACUGACAGGAUCGAAAAAAAGGUCACCUUUAUCUGCUUCGUUGCCGGCGUUGUGAGUGGUGGAGCGCCAUGGCUUGGGAGAAGCAUUCGGCUGAUCACUCUGCAUGCGCGCAUCAGAUAGUUGAGAGCACUGCAACUUGUUGUGUGAAAAAAGGUGAGCUUUUUUUUUGACGGCGCACUGCAGCAUGAGGAGGAGAUGCCAUGCCAUCGGUGAGGAAGACGGACGGCAACCACGCCGGCGCCGCCGCCAAACAUGGUCCGUCGUUGGGGAAAAAUUAAUUUGGAGGGUCGGAGGUCGACCAAGAAGAAGAAGACGUAUUGCAUCAUGCGUGCGUGGAUGGGUCCCAAUCCUAAUCCCAAAAGAUUAAUCCUCGUGGGCAUGCUGCGCGUCCGUCGACGAAUCUUUUCUAAAGAUCCAUCACCUCGACAACAGUUAGAUCUUGUGCCAAUCAAGAGCCCAGCCUUGUCCUUACAAUUGCAACAAUGACUGUGUUGUGGAACCUUCUACAACAGAAGUCAUGUUGCAGAAACUUCUGCAAUAGAACUCAUGUUUUUUUGUUGUGAAACUUUUUUGCAACAGAGGUCUUGUUGCGAUUUUUUUUGAAUUUUUUUCCUUUUUAGAUUUUUUUUUUGCAACAUAGGUCUGUUGCAACAUUGCAACACAGCAUUUAUUGCAAAACACUUCACGGCAGUGAAUUGUGGGUGCGCCCCAGGAAUGCACGUGGCAAAUGGAGCAGUGGCGGAUGCAACCGAGGGAUCCGCCGGCUGAUUAUUAGCGUUUUCCUUUUCUUAAUAAAGGAUUCAUUGGUUGGUUGGUUAAGUCCUGCACAGCCAAGUUCAUCCACACACACACACACAAAAAAUCAUGCACAGCGCAGCAUCCUUUUCAUGCGUAAGUCUUGCACGACUCGCAUGGGUACGGGAGUCCUCGCCGAUACUACUAUCGUACUUCCCCUGUAUUUGUCCCCGAACUCGAAGAACUUUGAUAUUUCAAACAGAUUGGACCUCAGAACACCCCUUCUUCUCUUCUCCAACAGUCGACAUAGCUCAACCUUGAGUCAGAUUACGUGAAAGAAUACAAGCAAACUUAAAUGAUGUAAGUAAUCGGGAGUGGCAAAUACUUACUAUCAGUAGCACCACCAACAAAAACACAAAACGACCCUGAACUUAUUUUAAACUAGAGCAAAACCAUAUAUGAUCAUAAUAAGUUUCUUUACCAACUUGCAUUAAAUGGGACAAAUAACUAUCAAUUCUGCUAGCAGGAAAAGUAGGGUUCGGCUCCUCUGCAGUCUAGUAAUUACUGUACGGGUACUGUAGCUAUCAAAAUCCGCCGUCCGUUUCAAUCCGAUGGCUCUCCUUCCUUCCCUCACCCUUUGCAGCAGUGGAGGCUCCUAAAGACUGCGACCAUGGCGGCCAGCGGAAGCGCACCGAUAAGAAGCGACCACCACAUAGCCUUACUAGCUGGUGUGUUUGCGUAGUUGCCCUUGCCGUGGCUCGGGUCGCCGGAUGGGUAGCAGUCAAAGACAAGCGCGCAUGUAUAGAAGAUGAUGCUGGCGAAGAGCAGCACCAUGAGCGGGCGGACCAUGGACCAUGGGCGGAGCGUACACGAUCGUCGGCGUCCCGUACACGGGCACAGUGGGCGUAACAUACAUGAGCGUGGGCGUCCGCUUGUACUCCAGCGCCUCAGUCUGGUGUCGGUGUCCCGUACUCCGGCAACGGUUUCAUGUGUCGGUGCAUGAAGAAAGGUUUCCUCACGAGCACCUAGACGCCGUCAACAUCCGCCGCGUCCUCGACAAUGGCAGCAAAGGCGCCCUCGCCUUCAGACAGCAGCGGCACGAUCCUUGACUGCUCCUACCCUUGGUACGACGCGCUGCUCGCCACGCUCUGGAGUGUGCGAAGCACUUGGCAGCGCCACGCAGGCCGGACGGGAGGGUGGUAGUACUCCGGCAUUGACAUCCCGUAGUGCAGCACACCAGAUCCGAUCAUCGGAGUGGUGAUCCACGCUGGCCAUCCAUACUGUUCCAGCAAACAACACAUGAUCAACCGAAUUAUUUCAACCACACACCAAGGCAGUAAGGCUAUGUGGCGGCCGGUUCUUACCGGUGCACUUCCGCCGGCUGCCGUGGUCGUGGUCUUUAAGAGCCUCGCCUGCUGCAAAGGGUGAUAGACGGAAGGAGAGCCGUGGGAUUUUAGCGGACGGUGGAUUUGGACAGCUACAGUACCCACAUAGUAAUUACUGGACUGCAGAGGAGUCGAACCCGGAAAAGUACAUGGUAUAUUAGCUAAUACCCAUGCAAGAAGCUGUCCCAAUACCCAUACUUCCAUAAAGACAACUAUGUGUAUGAGUUAUCGUUGGAAGAGCAAAACCUUAAUAAAAAAAA